UGAAAAGCUGAGGGCGGCUGUUGAUAGCUAGAUCCGCUGGUGUGUGGCAAGCACUGACGGGGCGCAUGGUUGAUGGUUCGGUAGUGCUACUCGUAGCGUGCAUGCAUGGUUCUGUGGGCGCUAUACGCCGCGCGUACGUACGUUUGGAGAACUCGAUUUGUUUGUUGUGUUUGUCGCUUAAUUACGUCGUUAGGUCAAUCUCUAUCGGUCGUUCGUGUUAAGUUCUUUGUAUCUGUAGUAGUGGAGCAUGUUCUUGAGGCAUAUGAAUAAUGCUAGAUGUACGUGUCAGCUUGUGCCGUGGUAUGCAAUGAUGAAAUGAAAUGGAGUAUUAUUGUACUAGUAAUCUUUUGUUGGUUUACUUGUUAAUUACGAGCUUGACUACCAUUUGGUUGGAACAGCAAACUCGCAUUGUGUUUUGGUCGGAGUAUAUUGCUAAGCUCAGUAGUGUCGAUUGGCUGAAUGAAACUUGACGAUCUAGACAAGUUUUUCUUAAGUCCUCAUCACCAUUGGAGAUUUCCUAGCUGAAGUGCAUCAACAGAUAUCUUGAACGGUACUGGAGUAAAAAAAAUUGAAGGGAAAAAGAAAGAGAUGUCUUUAGAUGACACGAGUUGGAAGCCCAAUUAACACGGCCCAGUUAAUUAGCUACUCCCUCCGUUCGCAUCUAAAAAUUACCCCCUCUGUCUCAUAAUAUAUGCAAAAUUAUCUUAUAUUAUGAGAUGAAGGAAGUAAUACUGUACUAGUAUAAAUUAAGACCAAGACAGAGGGUGAAUAAAACACCACUGCUCGGCAAUAGUGAGAAGGAAAAAUAAAUUAUUAUCAAAACUGAAAAGAAAGAGCGCUAGCUAGCUUUGAAGUUACCACAUGGCAUUGCAGGUUGCAGCACGUACAGGCAGUACUGCUGUCGAUGUAAAUCAGCUGCAGGCUGUAGGGGUAGGGGUGGGAGUAACUAUUCUCGCAUUUAUGUACAUUACCUCAUUCUACGUAUAAGGAGUAGUAGUCAUGCCUCUGUAUCCAAACCGCUAUACAUACAACACUUGGGCCCAGUUCUUUUGUCAGAAUCUGGGAAUUCUCCCAGAAUCCGACUCUUACCAAGCUUCUCUCAGAAUUUUGAGCCCAGUUUGUUUUACAAUCCUAUCUAAUUAGACCCUAACUAGAUAGGAUUGUAAAACAAAUGUGGCUCAAAGAUUUUGGGGAAGCUGGAUAGGGGUCGGGUUCUGAGAGAAUCCUCUGAUUCUGGCAAAAUAACUGGGCAUUGUUAUUCUACCUUCGUACGACAAGAAAUCCAACGGCUUACUGCAUUUUGCCUCUAUAGGUGUGGAUUUUCCUUUCCAACAAAAACAAAGUAUGUAAAAAGACGACAUAUACCAACUGAGCUGCCCCGCGUCGUCCACGUGGGCGACACAAGCGGCCUGCAGAUCCAUUUUUUCGGCGAGCUUCUGCCUAAGCGUCCUCUCAUCGUUGCUGCCGUCGCCGCCGGGUUUGCCUGUGUGGCCGAUGGCUGUUCGUGUUGCUAUUCGACGAGGUGUGGCGAUGUAUAGGUAAUGGCUUUGAUGCAGUACAGGUGGUCAUGAUGUAGCAGCAAACAGUUCGUUCUAGGGCACGGGCGGCUGCGCGCCUUCCUAAUCUUUCACACCGUCGGGUUGCAGCAAGCGCCCAUGUGGCGGUGGAAAGGAAAGGGAGCAACACCGCCAUGUCCUUCAACUUGGAGAGCCGGUGUGCUCUAGAGGAAGUCGUCACCUGCGCCGCCGGCUGGCAUGUGUGGUGACCAUGUAGCAGAUGUUGCCACCGUCGCAAGCGAUCUGGCCUGCGCGCACCAUGCUUGGUUGGUUGGCGCUAUCUUUGUGGCCGUGUCAUCGACUCGACGGUAGGCGCCGGAAGGUCGGAGGGGCUUCGACCUUCGGAUCCGGUGAGGUUCGCGUUGAACAUGGGAGAACUGGUAGAAGAUCAAGACAAAGACUUUCAGAGGGUAGCCUACAAGGCAAGGUUCAUCACAACCUACUCAACUAAGACAAAGCCCAAAAUUGCUUGUGGUUGCACAUGGAAGCAACUAUUCAUGAAACCGGUUGGUCUUUUUAAGCCUUAACGGCUGUCCACUAGUGUGCAAUGCCAUAGGUGAAUCUUUUAAGAAAUCACAUUCUCCAUGAUGCUAAUUGUACCUCACCACUUUAUAAUUACUAUUCCAUCCACGUACCACGAAUUUAGUUGGUCUUCCUUACUACAUUAUCAUUCAUAAAUUCCCACGAAUUACACUUCACCGAAGUAUCCGCCUACUUCAGCAAAUUAAGCAAACUACAACGACGACAGACAAGUAAUUAGAACUCGGACCUACUUAUUGAACUACAGUGGGAUCAUACUUGCAUAUUUAGGAUAUAUAAAGAUGCUCAUACGUACUACUCAAAAAUAUACUAAAUGCUUAGAAAAGAUGUAGGUAAAUGGACAUGCACGAAAGAAUGUGACUUGCCUUGGUGCCGGUGAUGAUACUCUAAUUCAUUAAGUAAGCGGCUUCGCACUCCAAACAAUCUAUCAUAGAAUGAAACAAAUUUGUAAACAAUUAUAAUUAAGCAUGCAAAUAAAAUUACUUGCAAAGAUAGCAAACAAAACUCAACAAAACAUAUUAUUCCCUUUGAUCCAAAUUAAUCGACGCAACCUCUAUACAAUGUAAGUAAGAUAUUGUAUAGAGGUUACGUCAAUUAAUUUGGAUCGGAGGGACUAGUAUAUAUAGCCUUAGCUAAUAUAGGGUAUGUGCAGAAGUGCAGCUAUAAAAGCGAAAGGCAUAAAAGAUACAUCAUAUACAUGACAUAGGAAUGAUUUUGAUGUGUACUAUUAACGGCUUAGUAGAUAGGAUUUGAUCAGGCUUCCAUCAUGCAAACAGACACAACUAAAUUGGAUCUCCAGAUUGCAAGAUAUGGCUAAAAUAAUAUAUAAAUUUGAAUUUGCAUUGAUCACAUUUGAAUAAUUAAAAAUGUUAAACUAAUAGGUCAUAAGCACUCCAAGACUACCAAUUUGCAAAAUGUUCGUCUUCUUUGGAGCUACAGUUGAAAAGUUAGAAUGCUAGAAGUUUCGUGGGAUUUUCUGCAAAAUAGUGUGACACGUGGCAGCAUCAGACUAGUUGAUACCGAUUCAUGGCUAAAUAAGAUAGUCGUCCUAUUUAAAUGAAAAUGGACAGACCAGAUCAAAAGAUACCGAUUCACGCUCAAACAGAAUAACAACCGUUGGAUUUAAGUGCACAUCUAGGGCCAAGUUCAAACAACAAUUUGGCAGAAAUAAAUUCUAAUUUGCACAAUCUAUUUCUAAACAGACGAAUGAGAAUGAGAUGGGGCGGUAGUGGACAGUGGCGGCCAUGGAGAAGACAAGUGGCACGACGACUCGGGUCAAAUGUGGCAUGGUCUCCGACGGUUGUCAGGGUUAAAGUUGUCGCAGUCAUCACGGCGGUGUGGUUGGUGAUCUGGACGGGUGUGGAGUGCUCGGCGGUGCUCUGGUGUGGUUGGGUGUGCACUAUUUAGACGAUGUGGUGUUCCAUGGACAAAAACAGUAUGCCAAAACGACGCGGAGCAGCAAGGCAAGAAAAGAGAGAAAGAGAUGAUCAUAAAACUAACGACCCUCGAUGCCCAUACUGUUUUGAGAAAGGAAUUAGGCCCGGGGCCUAAAAUGGUCGCGAUCUGUUUGGUGUGUUACUGGGCUGAAACACUGUUCCGGUCUAGUUAGGAUAGGAUUUCAUAAUAAAAUUAGUCUAGAAAUUGAUUUUGGCUCAAAUAAUAGUCUAAUAUAUAUAUUUUCAGAAAAUACCAGAAAUUUGCAAAAAAUAAUACUCAUAUAGAGCCUAGAAAAAUUAUUCCCAACUCAAAGUGCAAUUUUGUAAAUUCAUUUUAUUUUAUACAGCUAGUUUGGACCAAAUAAUAAUUCUAUUUGUAGGGUUUAUUUAAUUCCCAUGACUGGAUUUAUCCACUCCAAAUGACAUCUUAACAUUUUCUCACUCUUUUCAUAAGGAAAAUAAGUGAUAUUAUCUUCUCUCUUUUAGUUCCUUGAGUGGAAAAAAAAUAAGGCAGCCCGGUGCAUGUAGCUCCCGCUUGCGCAAGGUCUGGGGAAGGUCCGGCCACUUUGGGUCUAUUGUACGCAGCCUUUCCCUAUAUUUCUGCAAGAAACUGUUUCCAUGAGUCGAACCCGUGACCUCUUGGUCACAAGGCAACGCACCAAGGCUCCCCUUGGUUGAAGAUAGUUUAAAUUUAAAUGUCCUAGAAAGUCCAAAUAUGCAUUUAAAUAAUAAGAUGUAAAUUAAUGCUUUUAUAAACGUCCUAAUAAUUAAUAAAAGUGGGAUGUUACAUCUUGUGUGGUCUUUGUGGUUGUUGCUAGAAACCCAUGGUGCUUUGAUGCCAUGGAUCGAUUCAUCAUCCACCGGAAUAAUGAUGAUGGGACGAUGUCAUUUUAGUGAUCGAAUCAUCGUUGAAAGUAAAUGAUGAGAUGGUCAUGUUUGGAGAUGCAGUUCGCCAAAGUGAAAGAAAACUUACUUCGUAUGCCCUUGUUCAGGUAUUGAAUACUUGCAGUGCAACACUUAUUGCUUCUACAAAACUCAUAGUUAGGUCUUUUGCCAUCCAUAUCCAUUUCAAGUGUCACACUGAUUUAAAUGAUCUUAUAUUUCUUUACAGAGAGAGUACCUUUUAGGAAGUGAUCUAAAUGGUCGUAUNNNNNNNNNNNNNNNNNNNNNNNNNNNNNNNNNNNNNNNNNNNNNNNNNNNNNNNNNNNNNNNNNNNNNNNNNNNNNNNNNNNNNNNNNNNNNNNNNNNNNNNNNNNNNNNNNNNNNNNNNNNNNNNNNNNNNNNNNNNNNNNNNNNNNNNNNNNNNNNNNNNNNNNNNNNNNNNNNNNUCUACAUUUUCAAUUCAUUUCCCUAUGAUUUAUACACAUUACUUUAUAUUUGGAGCUUAUAAAUUCUCAAUUUAAGAAAAUAAGUCUCAAAUGUGAAUCACUAAAAGAAAAUUAAUAGAACAAGCACAUAAACGACAAUUUUAAGAAAAUGUUUGUUUGCUUGCCCUAAUUCAGACAGCAUUUAAAAUCUCAAAUGUUAAAUCAAAUGCGCAUGUCCAUUGACCCUGCAAGUUGAAGGCACAUUCUCUACUAGUCGAGAAGUCCAUAUCACCUCUUGAAAUCAUUUUAGGGUUCAAAUUACAAUCUCGGACUUUGAUUUGGUUCAUUUAACCAUGUGAACUCUGAGAACCGUUCACUUUACAUCCCACUUCUCGCGGGUUUGUGCUAGUCUGCUGUGCCAAAUCACAUAAUUUCUCGCUCCUCUCAGCUAUAUGCCUAUGUCAUCUCUUUUUUGUCUCCUUGUAAUAACCAAAACUAAGAUAGGUUUUCUCAAGUUGUAUGCUAAUUUUAUGAACAUUUUUUAAAACCUAAAUCAGGUACAUAAAACUUUGACAAAAUUAUAGUGAACGAGGAAUAGUUCAGUGACCAAAUGUUAUUCAGAUAAACUUAAUAUUUUAGUUUCAUGUUUAAAUGUUGGGUUUAAAAAAAGCAAACUGCACACAAACAAGCAAAUAACCAAUGACCGACCAUAAUUCAGUGAACAUCUGGUCAAAUAAAGAGAAAAAUAUUUAUGCAACAAGUGGAAACAUGGAACUGCAUGGUAGAUUAGCAGGGUAACUUGACUAAAUUAGGAAGUAAUAUAUCUACUAUUUUAAAAUUAAACCAAGUCAGAGUAACUUGACUAAAGGGAGAAAACAUGACCUUCAUUUCAGAGUAUUAUGCUGGACUUUCAGAGAAAACAACUUAGGUCUGAAAAAAGAGGGAGGUGCAGACUUCCAGAUAUCAUUUAGUAACUUUCAUUAGACUUCAAAAAACAUUUAUAUCUAAUCGCAGGAAAACGUGGUGAAAAAUCAUAGACCUCUAAUUUUAACUGAACUAGUUUCAUAUACACCUAAGAAAACCACCGUAUCGUGUGGUCUUACAGAACUAUCAAAAGCAAGAAGAUUCUCUGGGCAUCAAAAUAUUGUGAAAGACUUCUGCAUUAACCCUUGUGUUAGUACUGUGAAACAUGGCUGGUAGCACUAAAUUGUCAAGCUCCUGUAGAGAUGGUUCAACACUACUUAGGAACAUUAGAAAUAGUAAAACUAAUCAAUUGAUUUUGCCUUAGAUGUAAUAAUACGCCUUUGAGAAAAAUGGUUGAACUACUUCUAGGGUUUUGUGUCUGCACACAAUUGCGACAUUAAAUGAUCCAUGUAGACUUGCUAAUAGGUAUGAAUAAUAUCCUAAGGUGAGAUUGACUUGCAAUCCUGCUUGGUACAGUACAUACAUACUGCAGCAAAUACAAAAAAUAUCUCUGUAAAUAACAACUAAAUCCUGACUUUGCCUGACAUGCACCAAGUUACGAAGUUUGUUUUGAUGUGUUCCUGUAGACGGUAGGGCUGCAUAUAACCUGUUAUGAACAAUACUUUCCCCGGUUUUUUACAUGCUUGCCUUCAUUACUACUCCCUCCGUAAAGAAAUAUAAGAGCGUUUAGAUUCCUAAAGUAGUGAUCUAAAUGCUCUUAUAUUUGUUUACAAAGGGAGUAUGUUCCUUCUGUAUCAAAAUGAUUAAUUUAUAAUACAAGGGGUACUUUCAAAUGUCAACUUUUAUUGGACAUUUUAUUCCUCGAGGAUAUGCAGGUGCAUUAACAAACUGCAAUCUUCCAAUUAGUUAUUGUCAUAUAGUACAAAUGUGUUUCAUUCAAAGUAAUAGCCUGAUAUAGGCCAAUUGCUCAAUACUGUGAUGUACCCAACAAUGUUUAUAUAACAGUAUAUAUGGAUGAUGUGGUGGUACUCAAUUAUUCCAUAGGUUAGGUUGAUUACUUAUUUCAUUUUAUAUUUAUAAAAUGAUUAAAAGCUUACCGAUUGGUCAACUGCUUAUGGAUUCAGUCUCAACUUUUCAGGUAAGUAAAAUAAAAGCGGAAACCAAUUGGAGGAUGCAAGAACAGAGAAGUACAUGACAAUAGAAAUUGAACACCUUCCAGUGCAAGAAUUAAUGUUUCAAAUGCAGCCGUAUUGUUUUACAACACUCAAGAGUUCGAAAAUGUGGCAUUCAUUCUCCCGUUUCGAAUUUUAUAUUAUGAUGAAAUGUUCCCAUAUAAUCACAUUAACACACUGCUGGCCCACUCUUAAUUGUUACGGCAGAUAUCAUCAUUGAAGUGAGUAGCAUACACUAGCCUCCACAUGUAGUGUAGUAAUUAAUACCUAUGACAAAAUUUUCGAACAGACAAUUAAACACUCAUAUAUAUUGUUUAGCAACAAUACCAUUUGCACUAGUGGGUCUCUGGUAACGGGAAUCAGGACACCGUCGGGACGGGCAUGAUGGAACCCGACGGCUCUGGCGACGCUCCGUACGACCCGGCGGCUCCACCGCCGCCCCAGCCCCCGUCCCCUCCCUCGGACCCUGGCCAUGCGCUGGUGUCCCUCCCGCCCGCUCCGUCGUCGACUCCCCCCGCCGCCCCGUCGCGCGUGGUCUGGGCGGACCUCGCCAAGGCCGACGACCUUGUCGCAGGGCGCCCCGUCGUUUGGCGCGACCGCGUUCCCCCCAAGGCCCCUGCCCGGCCGCCUCGGUCUGAUUCUGUCGGUGGCCUUACUCCCAGGUGUGGGAGUUCGGCCGCCCGCGGGUCUGCCCGGCGCCGGCGCCAACCCUCAGGCGUGUUUCGGUCGGCGGCAGGGCAAGGUGCUCCCUUGGGCUCGGGGUCUCACCCUCGGGGGCACCGCUCCGGCGGGUGGCGUGUCGUUGGCCGCGCCGACCGCGGCCUCGCGCGUUCUUCAUGGAUGGCCACUGCUCCGGCGCCGCCCUCCCCUGCUCCGGCCUGCGCACUGACGGCGUUCUCGGCGGAGCUCUCGUCGGUGGUUUUCCGGCGGUCCCCCUUCCGCCCUUUCAUCUCGGCUUUCAGCGNNNNNNNNNNNNNNNNNNNNNNNNNNNNNNNNNNNNNNNNNNNNNNNNNNNNNNNNNNNNNNNNNNNNNNNNNNNNNNNNNNNNNNNNNNNNNNNNNNNNNNNNNNNNNNNNNNNNNNNNNNNNNNNNNNNNNNNNNNNNNNNNNNNNNNNNNNNNNNNNNNNNNNNNNNNNNNNNNNNNNNNNNNGGCGACCACCAUGGCAGCGCUCGGGGAAACCCUCGCCCCUCCCCUGGUAUCCCGGGAUUCUCCUACCGGGCCGCGCUCGUCUCGGGCCGUUCCGUGGGCCGCCUCCUUGGCGCCUCCCCGCGGGCCUCGGCUUCUGGGCCGCCGCGUGAUGUGCGGGCCGUUGGCCCCUGUGUGGGCCGGUCCCCUGGACCGUCCUCACCCUUCGCGGCCCAGCCAUGCCCCUGGGUGGGCCUUGGCCCGAUCCGGCGCUCCAUCUCGCCACCGCUAGGGUUCCCCCGCCAACCAGUCCCCAACCCGACGCCUCCCGCUCCCCCCAACGAAGUUCCACCCGCCGCCCCUAGCUCCCCCCUGCUCGUCGGCGCCACCGGUCCCCUUGCACCCUCCCCUCCUCCCUCGCCGGCCAUGACCCGGGAGUGGGGCGACGGCGCGGGACGCCCCAAGCGCAGGGCAAACGACCGCCGCGCCCCCCCUCGACCCUCUCCUGAUGGUCUCCGGCGGGAGGCUGACCUCAGGCAGGAGCUCGACUCCCGCCCGGCUCGGCGCUCCCCAGCCCGCGACGCUCGCCGCUCUCCCCCCACCCAGCCCGUCGGUCCCCUGCUCGGGACGACCGCCGCUCCCGGUCCCCGGCGCGCCGCUCGCCCCCUCGGGCUGCCUCGCGGGAUCGUGGCUGGUCACCGGCUGGAGGGGGGGGGGGCUCGGCAGUCCUCCCGGCGGCGGUCCCCCUCCCCGUCGCGCCAUCGGGACCGAUCCCCAUCUCCUCCCCGACAGCAGUCCCUGACCACCGCCAUCACCGCCCCGGCCGCCCGCCGCUACCAGCCCCCUCACUCCCAAGCUGCAUUCCCGCCGUCCAAUGGGGGCAAUGGGGACCGGGGGCGCCAGGGCACCCAAAAGAAGAAGAACGGUCCCCCUCGCCCCCGACCGCCUUCACCUCCGCUGGUGCGGUGGCUCCACCUUCGGGCUCCACCCCGCCUCUGAGGGUCCGCCGUGCUUCAAUUCCGGCCUGACCGGGCACUUCCAGGUGGCAUGCCACAAACCUUCGAGGUGCUACCUCUGCAAGGAUGCCGGGCACCCCGUGAUUCUCUGCCCGGACCGCCCGGUGACGGAGGAGAUCAUGAUGUACGGCCACGGCAUCGAGGACAUGGGCUUCUUCCGCAUCGAGGUCCCGGAGAUUCCCCCUUCCCCCUCGCUCCUGGCUCUCGUGACUGUCGUGGGUGCGGGCGUCGCCAUCCUGGAGCUGAUCGAGGCCAAGCUCAACCACUUGUGCAGGUGCAAGUGGGACUGGCAGGUGACCUCCACCGCUGCCAACGCCUUCAAGGUGAUCUUCCCCGACGCUCUGAGCAUGGGACUCUGUACCCACAACAACAACAUCACCUUGGCCCUCAACGGGAUUGUGGUGAACAUCUUAGAGCCAAGGUGGGAUCCCAAGGCCGUGGCUGUUCUGGACACUGUGUGGCUCCUCAUCGCCGGCCUGCCUGAUGUGGCCCGGUCUGAGUGAGUCAUCCGCAGUAUGUCCAAGAUCCUGGGAAAGGUGGUGGUGGUCGAUGAGCUCUCUCUACGCAAGGAGGAGGAGGUCUGGGUCAAGGUGAAGUGCCUGGACUCCUCCAAGCUCCACGCCACGAUUCAGGUCUUCUUCAACAACGACAGCUUCGACCUCAAGAUCUGCCCCGAGCCUCCGAACCACAUCGGCCGCCCCCGAUUCUCUGAUGACAGCCACCUGGGGGCGGUCCAGCUCACGCCGACGACUCCCACCACUAGCGGUCCCGCCACUCCCCCCUCGACGACCCUGAGGAUGACGAGGACUUGUCAAAGCACUCCCGCUCCCUGUCCCGCGAGCCCGCCAACCCACCUUCGGGUCAUGGCUGUUCCGAGGCGGGACGUGUUGGAAAUAUGCACUAGAGGCAAUAAUAAAUUGGUUAUUAUUAUAUUUCCUUGUUCAUGAUAAUCGUUUAUUAUCCAUGCUAGAAUUGUAUUGAUAGGAAACUCAGAUACAUGUGUGGAUACAUAGACAACACCAUGUCCCUAGUAAGCCUCUAGUUGACUAGCUCGUUGAUCAAUAGAUGGUUACGGUUUCCUGACCAUGGACAUUGGAUGUCGUUGAUAACGGGAUCACAUCAUUAGGAGAAUGAUGUGAUGGACAAGACCCAAUCCUAAGCCUAGCACAAGAUCAUAUAGUUCGUAUGCUAAAGCUUUUCUACUGUCAAGUAUAAUUUCCUUAGACCAUGAGAUUGUGCAACUCCCGGAUACCGUAGGAGUGCUUUGGGUGUGCCAAACGUCACAACGUAAUUGGGUGGAUAUAAAGGUACACUACAGGUAUCUCCGAAAGUGUCUGUUGGGUUGGCACGAAUUGAGACUGGGAUUUGUCACUCCGUGUAAACGGAGAGGUAUCUCUGGGCCCACUCGGUAGGACAUCAUCAUAAUGUGCACAAUGUGAUCAAGGAGUUGAUCACGGGAUGAUGUGUUACUGAACGAGUAAAGAGACUUGCCGGUAACGAGAUUGAACAAGGUAUCGGGAUACCGACGAUCGAAUCUCGGGCAAGUAUCAUACUGAUAGACAAAGGGAAUUGUAUACGGGAUUGAUUAAGUCCUUGACAUCGUGGUUCAUCCGAUGAGAUCAUCGUGGAGCAUGUGGGAGCCAGCAUGGGUAUCCAGAUCCCGCUGUUGGUUAUUGACCAGAGAGUUGUCUCGGCCAUGUCUGCAUGACUCCCGAACCUAUAGGGUCUACACACUUAAGGUUCGAUGACGCUAGGGUUAUAGGGAAAGUAUGUACGCGGUUACCGAAUGUUGUUCGGAGUCCCGGAUGAGAUCCCGGACGUCACGAGGAGUUCCAGAAUGGUCCGGAGGUAAAGAUUGAUAUAUAGGAAGUAUGGUUUUGGCCACCGGAAGUGUUCCGGGCAUCACCGAUAGUGUACCGGGACCAUCGAAGAGGUCCGGGGGUCCACCAGGUGGGGCCACCAGCCCCGGAGGCCUACAUGGGCCAAUAGUGGGAAGGGACCAGCCCCUAGGUGGGCUAGGGCGCCUCCCACCAAGGCCCAAGGCGCCUCCAAUAGGGGAAGGGGCAAACCCUAGGGAAGAUGGGCCCUAAGGCCCACCCUAGGUGCGCCUCCCCCUCUCCCCCUUGUGGCCGCCACCCUAGAUGGGAUCUAGGGCUGCCGCACCUCUUGGGGUGGGAACCCUAGGUGGGGGCGCAGCCCUCCCUCUCCCCAUAUAUAUAGUGGAGGCAAAGGGGCAGCCCAACACACGAUUUAAUCUCCCUGUUGGCGCAGCCCUACCCCUCUUCCUCCUCGUCUCUCGUAGUGCUUGGCGAAGCCCUGCUGGAGUCCCGCGCUCCUCCACCACCACCACGCCGUCGUGCUGCUGCUGGAUGGAUUCUUCCCCAACCUCUCCUUCUCCCCUUGCUGGAUCAAGGCGUAGGAGACGUCACCGGGCUGUACGUGUGUUGAACACGGAGGUGCCGUCCGUUCGGCACUAGGGUCAUCGGUGAUUUGGAUCACGACGAGUACGACUCCAUCAACCCGUUCACUUGAACGCUUCCGCUUAGUAAUCUACAAGGGUAUGUAGAUGCACUCUCCUUCCCCUCGUUGCUAGAUUACUCCAUAGAUUGAUCUUGGUGAUGCGUAGAAAAUUUUGAAUUUCUGCUACGUUCCCCAACAGUGGCAUCAUGAGCUAGGUCUAUGCGUAGUUACUAUGCACGAGUAGAACACAAAGUAGUUGUGGGCAUCGAUAUUGUCAAUUAUCUUGCCGUUACUAGUCUUAUCUUGAUUCGGCGACAUCGUGGGAUGAAGCAGCCCGGACCAACCUUACACGUACGCUUACGUGAGACCGGUUCCACCGACUGACAUGCACUAGUUGCAUAAGGUGGCUGGCGGGUGUCUGUCUCUCCCACUUUAGUCGGUUCGGAUUCGAUGAACAGGGUCCUUAUGAAGGGUAAAUAGAAAUUGGCAAUUCACGUUGUGGUUUUGGCGUAGGUAAGAAACGUUCUUGCUAGAAACCUAUAGCAGCCACGUAAAAAACUUGCAACAACAAUUAGAAGACGUCUAACUUGUUUUUGCAGCAAGUGUUUUGUGAUGUGAUAUGGCCAAAGGAUGUGAUGAAUGAUAUAUGUGAUGUAUGAGAUGAUCAUGUUCUUGUAAUAGGAAUCAUGACUUGCAUGUCGAUGAGUAUGACAACUGGCAGGAGCCAUAUGAGUUGUCUUAAUUUAUUUAUGACCUGCGUGUCAAUAUAAAGGUCAUGUAAUUACUUUACUUUAUUGCUAACCGUUAGCUGUAGUAGUAGAAGUAAUAGUUGACGAGACAACUUCAUGAAGACACGAUGAUGGAGAUCAUGAUGAUGGAGAUCAUGGUGUCAUGCCGGUGACAACGAUGAUCAUGGAGCCCCGAAGAUGGAGAUCAAAAGGAGCAAAAUGAUAUUGGCCAUAUCAUGUCACUUUUUGAUUGCAUGUGAUGUUUAUCAUGUUUUUGCAUCUUAUUUGCUUAGAAUGAUGGUAGUAAAUAAGAUGAUCCCUCAUUAAAAUUUCAAGAAAGUGUUCCCCCUAACUGUGCACCGUUGCGAAGGUUCGUUGUUUCGAAGCACCACGUGAUGAUCGGGUGUGAUAGAUUCUAACGUUCGAAUACAACGGGUGUUGACGAGCCUAGCAUGUACAGACAUGGCCUCGGGACACAUGCGAAACACUUAGGUUGACUUGACGAGCCUAGCAUGUACAGACAUGGCCUCGGAACACGGAGGACCGAAAGGUCGAGCAUGAGUCGUAUGGUAGAUACGAUCAACAUGAAGAUGUUCACCGAUGAUGACUAGUCCGUCUCACGUGAUGAUCGAACACGGCCUAGUUGACUCGGAUCAUGUAAUCACUUAGAUGACCAGAGGGAUGUCUAUCUGAGUGGGAGUUCAUAAGAUGAACUUAAUUAUCCUGAACAUAGUCAAAAGGUCUUCGCAAAUUAUGUCGUGGCUCGCGCUUUAGUUCUACUGUUUAGAUAUGUUCCUAGAGAAAAUUUAGUUGAAAGUUGAUAAUAGCAAUUAUGCGGACUAGGUCCGUAAACUGAGGAUUGUCCUCAUUGCUUCAUAGAAGGCUUAUGUCCUUAAUGCACCACUCAGUGUGCUAAACCUCGAACGUCGUCUGUGGAUGUUGCGAACAUCUGACAUACACAUUUUGAUAACUACGUGAUAGUUCAGUUAAACGGUUUAGAGUUGAGGCACCGAAGACGUUUUGAAACGUCGCGAAACAUAUGAGAUGUUUCGAGGGCUGAAAUUGGGAUUUCAGGCUCGUGCCCAUGUCAAGAGGUAUAAGACCUCCGACGAUUUUCUUAGCCUGCAAACUAAGGGAGAAAAGCUCAAUUGUUGAGCUUGUGCUCAGAUUGUCUGAGUACAAAAUCAUUUGAAUCAAGUGGGAGUUGAUCUUCCAGAUGAGAUAGUGAUGUUUCUCCGAAGUCAUUACCACCAAGCUGCUAGAGCUUCAUGAUGAACUAUGAUAUAUCAGGGACAUAUAUGAUGAUCCUUGAGAUAUUCGCGAUGUUUGACACCACAAAAGUAGAAAUCAAGAAGGAGCAUCAAUUGUUGAUGGUUGGUGAAACCACUAGUUUCAAGAAGGGCAAGGGCAAGAAGGGAUACUUCAUGAAACAGCAAAUCAGCUGAUGCUCUAGUGAAGAAACCCAAGGUUGAACCCAAACCCGAGACUAAGUGCUUCUGUAAUAAGGGGAACAGCCACUGGAGCAGAAUUACCCUAGAUACUUGGUAGAUGAGAAGGCUGGCAAGGUCGAUAGAAGUAUAUUGGAUAUACAUUGUGUUAAUGUGUACUUUACUAGUACUCCUACUAGCACCAUGGUAUUAGAUACCGGUUCGGCUGCUAAGUGUUAGUAAACUCGAAAUAAAAGGCCGCGGAGUAAACGGAGACUAGCUAAAGGUGAGCUGGCGAUAUGUGUUGGAAGUUUUUCCCAAGCUUGAUGUGAUCAAGCAUCGCACGCUCCCUCUACCAUCGAGAUUGGUGUUUGCGUUGAGAAUAGACAUGAUUGGAUUAUGUCUAUCGCAAUACGGUUAUUCAUUUAAGGAGAAUAAUGGUUAAUCUGUUUAUUUGAAUAAUACCUUCAAUGGUCUUGCACCUAAAAUGAAUGUUUUUUGAAUCUCGACCGUAGUGUGAUACACAUGUUCAUGCCAAAAGAUAUAAGAUAGUAAUGAUAGUACCACCUACUUGUGGCACAGCCACGUAAGUCAUAUCGGUAUAAAACGCAUGAAGAAGCUCCAUGUUGAUGGAUCUUUGGGCUCACUCGUUUUGAAAAAUUUGAGACAUGCGAACCAUGUCUAUUGGUGUAUAUGCAUGAAGAAAAUCCAUGCAAAUGGACCGUUUGGACUCACUUGAUUUUGAAUCACUUGAGACAUGCAAAUCAUACCACAUGGGCAAGAUGACUGAAAGCCUCGUUUUCAGUAAAAUGGAACUAGAAAGCAACUUGUUGGAAGUAAUACAUUUUGAUGUGUGCGGUCCAAUGAGUGCUGAGGCGUGUAGUGGAUAUCGUUAUGUUCUUACUUCACAGAUGAUUUGAGUAGAUGUUGAGUACAUUUACUUGAUGAAUCACGAGUCUGAAUUAUUGAAAUGUUCAAGUAAUUUUAGGGUGAAGUUGAAAGAUCGUCGUGACAAGAGGAUAAAAUAUCUAUGAUAUGAUCAUAGAGAUGAAUAUCUGAAUUAUGAGUUUCGCACAGAAUUAAGACAUUGUGGAAAUUGUUUCACAACUAAUACAGCCUGGAACACCAUAGUGUGAUGGUGUGUUCGAACAUCAUAACUGCACCCUAUUGGAUAUGAUGCAUACCAUGAUGUCUCUUACCGAAUUACCACGAUAGUUUAUGGGUUAGGCAUUAGAGACAACCACAUUCACUUUAAAUAGGGCACCACGUAAUUCCGAUGAGAUGACACCAUAUGAACUAUGGUUUAGAGAAACCUAAGCUUUCAUUUCUUAAAAGUUUGGGGCUGCGACGCUUAUGUGAAAAAGUUUUAGGCUAAUAAGCUCGAACCCAAAGCGGAUAAAUGCAUCUUCAUAGGACACCCAAAAUAGUUGGGUAUACCUCCUGUCUCAGAUCCGAAAGCAAUAAGGGAUUGUUUCUAGAAUCGGGUCCUUUCUCGAGGAAAAGUUUCUCUCGAAAGAAUUGAGUGGGAGGAUGGUGGAGACUUGAUGAGGUUAUUGAACCAUCUCUUCAACUAGUGUGUGGCAGGGCACAUGGAGUUGUUCCUGUGGCACCUACACCAAUUGAAGUGGAAGCUUAUGAUAGUGAUCAUGAAACUUCAGAUCAAGUCACUACCAAACCUCGUGGGAUGACAAGGAUGCGUACUACUUCAGAGUGGUACGUAAUCCUGUCUUGGAAGUCAUGUUGCUAGACGACAAUGAACCUACGAGCUAUGGAGAAGCGAUGGUGGGCCUGGAUUCCAAAAUGGCUCGAGGCCAUAUAAUCCGAGAGAGGAUCCAUAAAUGAAAACAAAGUGUAGACUUUGGAAGAACUACUUGAUGGUCGUAAGGCUGUUAGGUACAUAUGGAUUUUAAAAGGAAGACGGACAAUGAUGGUAAGUAUCACCAUUAAGAAAGCUCGACUUGUCGUUAAGAUGUUUUCCGACAAGUUCAAGGAGUUGACUACGAUGAGACUUUCUCACUCGUAGCGAUGCUAAGAGUCUGUUGGAAUUAUAUUAGCGAUUACUGCAUUAUUUAUGAAAUAUUGCAGAUAGGAUGUCAAAACAUUGUUUCCUCGAUGAUUUUCUUGAGGAAAGGUUGUAUGUGAUACAACCGGAAGGUUUUGUCAAUCCCGAAAGAUGCUUAUAAGUAUGCAAAGCUCCAACAAUCCUUCUAAGGACUGGAGUAAGCAUCUCGGAGUUGGAAUGUAUGCUUUGAUGAGAUGAUCAAAGAUUUUGGGUGUAUACAAAGUUUAUGAGAAACUUGUAUUUCCAAAGAAGUGAGUGGGAGCACUAUAGAAUUUCUGAUGAAUAUAUGUUGUUGGCAUAUUGUUGAUCAGAAAUGACGUAGAAUUUCUGGAAAGCAUAUAGGGUUAUUUGGAAAGUGUUUUUCAAUGGAAAGCCUGGAUUAAGCUACUUGAACAUUGAGCAUCAAGAUCUAUAAGGAUAGAUCAAAACGCUUAAUGGUACUUUCAAAUGAGCACAUACCUUGACAUGAUCUUGAAGGUGUUCAAGAUGGAUCAGUCAAAGGAGUUCUUGCCUGAGUUGUAAGGUAUGAAGUUAAGACUUAAAGCUUGACCACGGCAGAAGAAAGAGGAAGGACGAAGGUCGUCCCCUAUGCUUUUGUCAUAGGCUCUAUACGGUAUGCCAUGUUGAGUACCGCACCUGAUGUGUGCCUUGCCACAUAUCUGGCAAGAGGGUACAAAGGUAAUCUAGGAGUAGAUCACCAGAUAGCGGUCUAAAUUAUCCUUAGAGGAAUAAGGAUAUGUUUCUCGGUUAUGGAGGUGAUAAAGAGUUCGACGUAAAGAGUUACGUCGAUGCAAGCUUAACACCUAUCCGGAUAGCUCUGAGUAGAGAUACCGGAUACGUAUAAUGGAGCAACAAUUUAGAAUAGCUCCAAGUAGAACAGUUAUUUGAAAUGGCUCCAAAUGUAGCGUAGUAGUUGCAUCUACAAGAUGACAUAGAAAUUUGCGAAGUACAUACGGAUCUGAAUGUUGCAGACCCGUUGACUGAAACCUCUCUCACAAGCAUAACAUGAUCAAACCCAGAACUCUUUGGGUGUUAGUCACAUGGGGAUGUGACCUUGAGUGUUAAUCACAUAUCGAUGUGAACUGGAUUAUUGACUCUAGUGCAAGUGGGAGACUGUUGGAAAUAUGCCCUACAGGCAAUAAUAAAUUGGUUAUUAUUAUAUUUCCUUGUUCAUGAUAAUCGUUUAUUAUCCAUGCUAGAAUUGUAUUGAUAAGAAACUCAGAUACAUGUGUGGAUACAUAGACAACACCAUGUCCCUAGUAGGCCACUAGUUGACUAGCUCGUUGAUCAAUAGAUGGUUACGGUUUCCUGACCAUGGACAUUGGAUGUCGUUGAUAACGGGAUCACAUCAUUAGGAGAAUGAUGUGAUGGACAAGACCCAAUCCUAAGCCUAGCACAAGAUCAUAUAGUUCGUAUGCUAAAGCUUUUCUAAUGUCAAGUAUCAUUUCCUUAGACCAUGAGAUUGUGCAACUCCCGGAUACCGUAGGAGUGCUUUGGGUGUGCCAAACGUCACAACGUAACUGGGUGGCUAUAAAGGUACACUACAGGUAUCUCCGAAAGUGUUUGUUGUGUUGGCACGAAUCGAGACUGGGAUUUGUCACUCCGUGUAAACGGAGAGGUAUCUCUGGGCCCACUCGGUAGGACAUCAUCAUAAUGUGCACAAUGUGAUCAAGGAGUUGAUCACGGGAUGAUGUGUUACGUAACGAGUAAAGAGACUUGCCGGUAACGAGAUUGAACAAGGUAUCGGGAUACCGACGAUCGAAUCUCGGGCAAGUAUCGUACCGAUAGACAAAGGGAAUUGUAUACGGGAUUGAUUAAGUCCUUGACAUCGUGGUUCAGCCGAUGAGAUCAUCAUGGAGCAUGUGGGAGCCAGCAUGGGUAUCCAGAUCCCGCUGUUGGUUAUUGACCGGAGAGUUGUCUCGGCCAUGUCUGCAUGACUCCCAAACCUGUAGGGUCUACACACUUAAGGUUCGAUGACGCUAGGGUUAUAGGGAAAGUAUGUACGCAGUUACCGAAUGUUGUUCGGAGUCCCGGAUGAGAUCCCGGACGUCACGAGGAGUUCCAGAAUGGUCCGGAGGUAAAGAUUGAUAUAUAGGAAGUAUGGUUUUGGCCACCGGAAGUGUUCCGGGCAUCACCGGUAGUGUACCGGGACCACCGAAGGGGUCCGGGGGUCCACCAGGUGGGGCCACCAGCCCCGGAGGCCUACAUGGGCCAAUACUGGGAAGGGACCAGCCCCUAGGUGGGCUAGGGCGCCUCCCACCAAGGCCCAAGGCGCCUCCAAUAGGGGAAGGGGCAAACCCUAGGGUAGAUGGGCCCUAAGGCCCACCCUAGGUGCGCCUCCCCCUCUCCCCCUUGUGGCCGCCACCCUAGAUGGGAGCUAGGGCUGCCGCACCCCUUGGGGUGGGAACCCUAGGUGGGGGCGCAGCCCUCCCUCUCCCCCUAUAUAUAGUGGAGGCAAAGGGGCAGCCCAACACACGAUUUAAUCUCCCUGUUGGCGCAGCCCUACCCCUCUUCCUCCUCGUCUCUCGUAGUGCUUGGCGAAGCCCUGCUGGAGUCCCGCGCUCCUCCACCACCACCACACCGUCGUGCUGCUGCUGGAUGGAGUCUUCCCCAACCUCUCCUUCUCCCCUUGCUGGAUCAAGGCGUAGGAGACGUCACCGGGCUGUACGUGUGUUGAACACGGAGGUGCCGUCCGUUCGGCACUAGGAUCAUCGGUGAUUUGGAUCAUGACGAGUACGACUCCAUCAACCCGUUCACUUGAACGCUUCCGCUUAGCAAUCUACAAGGGUAUGUAGAUGCACUCUCCUUCCCCUCGUUGCUAGAUUACUCCAUAGAUUGAUCUUGGUGAUGCGUAGAAAAUUUUGAAUUUCUGCUACGUUGCCCAACAGGACGCACCUGAGUUUCCGCCACUGACCUCGCGGUGGCUCUCCGCCUGGCCACCCCGCCGGUCGCACUCUCCGCCUCCAUCGGAGUCGGCCAGUGACAUCUCCAGUGUGGGCCUGCUCGUCGUGCCGCCUUCGUUGCCGUGCUCUCCCUCCACCGACUCCGCCCUUCACGCCUCGCCAUCGGGCCCGGACCCCCCGUCUCCCCUGGUUUGACCUCCCCGGUCCCCACGGGUGGCGGCGGGUGCACUCCCAUCGGCGUGCCUUCUCCGACCCUCCCACUCGCGGGGGACGCGGCCGGCGACAUCCUGGAGCUCGUCGCCCCACUCCCCUCGCCGGUGGACUCCGACGUCCGCCUCGCACCGCCUGCUUCCCCGACCGCGGCGGUGGCCGUUGUUGUGACCACUCGGGCCUCUGCUCACCCUCCUUCGACGGUGGCGUAUGCCAGGCGGCCCCGCUCCACCUCGCCGCCGGUGACGGCGUCCCGCCGCAGCGCCCGCCUCGAUGCGACCUGCCCGACGGACUCCUCGGCUCCGUCCAUCUCCGAGCGUGCGGAGCUUCGGGCGGCGGUCCGGAACCUCGAGUCAGGUGUGGAUCCCGCCCUUCCCAGUUCUUCCAGUUGUUCCUUUUCCGUGCUUGAGGCGGUUCCUCUUGGCCACUUCGCCAAGGUGGCCACUGACUCGAUCAUCAUCUUCAGGGGGAGGUUGGUCCCCCCUUAAAUCAUAUCACGACCAUUAGGUCUCGUGAGAUCUUAGAUGGCAAGCUGGCUGAGACUCGGGCGCGCUUGCUUUGGCCUCCCAAGGAAUCGUCCGCUACCCCCGCGGUUCGCGUUCCUCCGGUGGCCGAUGGGGUGAUCCGUGGACGCACCCGCUCUCGCGCUGCUGCUCUCCACAUGCAAAGCGCCUCCCGUGUCCUAGGUUCAAGCAGCCCCCCAAAGGGGGCUUAGAUGCGGGCCCUUUUCUGGAACAUCCACGGCUUCGGCCAUGAUGGCCGUCACCGCCAACUCAUCGAGUACAUGCGAGACGAACACAUUGACAUCAUUGCCAUCCAGGAAACCAUGCGCACCGUGUUCUCCCUCCACGAGCUCUAAUGUCUUAGUUCCCACCUCUUCGCCUGGCAUUGGCUCCCUUUAGUGGGACCACAGGCCAUUCUGGCGGCAUCCUUUUAGGGGUAAAGGAUGCCACCUUUGAGGUGGGUGGCAUGGACCGGGGUGAAUUCUUCCUUAGUAUGGAGAUCUUCGAGCGUGCUCUUAACUUCAAAUGGGAGGUCGUGAUUGUGUAUGGACCGGCGGACCACCGGCGCUCCCCAGCCUUCCUGGCGGAGCUACAUCUGAAGAUCUCCAACUCCCUCCUCCCAGUUGUAGUGGGCGGAGACUUUAACCUCAUCCGAUCCCUAGAUGAGAAGAAUAAUGACCGGAUUAACCUCCCCCGGAUGCAGUUAUUCAAUGACUGGAUCGCAGAGCUGGGUCUCUGUGAGCUAGAUCGGACGGGUGCCAGGUUCACUUGGACAAACCGUCAGGUUGACCCGACGCAAUCCGUCUUGGAUCGUGUCCUAGUUUCCCCGGAGUGGGAAUUAUGUUGCCCCCUGGCCUCGCUUCGUGCGAUUACCCGGAUCGGGUCUGACCAUGUCCCUCUCCUCCUCUCCACCGCUGACGAGCGCCCCCCACCCCGCCACGAUUCCGGUUCGAGCUCUUCUGGCUUAAUCAGGUCGGCUUGCGGGAGGCUGUCGUCGCUCGCUGGAUCUCCGCUCGCUCUUCCCCUCAUCGCGCCAUGUCCGCAGUCGACUCGUGGCACUUCUGUGCCAAGCUCGCCCGCCAAUUCAUGAAGGGUUGGGGUGCUAACCUUGGCCGGGACCUUCGAGAGCGCAAAAAGGCCCUCCUGCUGGCUAUCCAAGCCCUGGAUGCCCGUGCCGAGACGUCCAGGAUCUCCCCGGAUGAGUGGAUGCUGCGAUAUGACCUUGAAGACCAGAUCUCAACCAUUUACACGGAUGAAGAGGCCUACUGGCGACUGCACGGUACCCAAUGGUGGGUGCUUCGGGGUGAUGCCAACACCGCCUAUUUCCAGGCAGUGGCGAACGGCCGGCGGCAUCGAAACUCCAUCCACUGCUUGUGGGAUGGAGACACGCCUCUCGUUCGCCCCUCGGCCAUCCGUGCCCAUGUAGACGGCUUCUAUAAAGCCCUAUUUACCCCACCCCUCGGGGUGGGGCUAGUCUCGCCCCCGACAUUUGGUCGGGUGAUCAAUUGGUCUCAGUUGAGGCCAAUGCGGCAUUAGUGGCCCCCUUCGCCAAGGACGAGGUCCUCGCGGCUAUUAAAGGGAUGAACCCCUCCUCGGCCUCAGGACCGGAUGGCUUGCCUGUAACGUUCUUCAAAACGUUCUGGCCGACCAUCAAGCCGGAGGUCAUGGCCCUAUUUGAGGAAUUCUACUUGGGCGCCAUGGAUCUUGGGUGUCUCAACUAUGGUAUCGUGACCCUCAUCCCCAAGGUCCCGGGCGCCUCCGACAUCCGCCAGUUUCGUCCAAUCACAGUGAUUAAUGUGAUAUUCCGGAUCCUGGCCAAAGGGUACACCAAUAGGAUGACCCUGCUCACUGACGCGAUUACCCAUCCCAACCAAUCCGCCUUCAUACAAGGCCGAUUUAUUCUGGAUGGGGUGCUGGUAUUCCACGAAGUCCUCCAUGAGGUUCGGAUGAAACGCCAUCGGGUGGUCUUUCUGAAGCUAGACUUCCACAAAGCGUACGACAUGGUCUACUGGCCCUUCUUGUGGGAAGUGUUGCUUUGCAAGGGCUUUGAUGACCGUUGGGUGACUCGCGUCAUGCAGCUUGUCUCCUGUGGCCGGACCGCUAUGAACAUCAACGGUGACAUUAGGCCCUACUUCCCCACCCUCUGUGGGCUCCGUCAGGGUGACCCGUUCUCGACAUUUCUGUUCAACAUGGUGGUUGAUGCCCUAGCAUCCAUCCUUGAUAAGGCCAAGGAUGCUGGCCAUAUUCGUGGCAUCGUCCCCCACCUAGUCAGAGGGGGAGGGGUCUCCCUCCUUCAAUAUGCGGAUGAUACCAUAAUAAUGGUGGAGGGCUCCGUCCAAGACAUUGCUAACCUGAAGUUCCUCCUCCCGUGCUUCCAACAGAUGUCGGGCCUGACCAUCAACUUUGAUAAGAGCGAAGUGAUGGUUCUCGGGUUCCCCCCGGAGGAAGCACGGGCUAUUGCGGACCGGCUAAAUUGUCGGUUGGGUUCUUUCCCCACGACCUACCUGGGGAUCCCCAUUAGUGAUUCACGCCUCACCAUGGCGGAUUUUUGCCCCACGGUGACCCGUAUGCAACACCGCAUUGAGCCCUGGAAAGGGCGCUGGUUGUCGAAGGUUGCUCGCGUGAUCCUUAUCAAGUCUUCCCUUGCCAGCCUUCUUUGGUUCCUCAUGAGCUUCUAUAGCCUCCGUGAGACCCUUCAUCAAGAGAUCGCCAAAUACCAAUCUAGAUUCUUCUGGGAUGGGGAGGGGGAUAAGCAGAAGUACCAUAUGGUAAGCUGGCCCGAUAUCUGCAAACCCAAGGACCAGGGUGGUCUUGGGAUCUUGUCCUCCCGACGCAUGAACAUUGCCCUCCUCACCCGUUGGCUCUGGCGCAUUGCCAAUGGCAAUGGAGGUCUUUGGCUCACCAUCAUCCACAACAAGUACCUUCGAGGACAGCCUCUUGCAUUCUGUCAGCGCUCGGGCGGCUCCCAGUUUUGGCAGGCCGUCGUCCAGCUGCUACCUAUGCUUUGCAUUGGCACGUCCAUCUCGGUUGGUACUGGGUCCUCAACCCUGUUCUGGUUUGAUCGGUGGAUUGGCGACACCCCCCUGGCCGCACGAUUUCCGGAGCUCUUCGCCAUUGCAGUUGACCCUCGUGUCUCUGUCGAGACGACCCCUAUUGACUUAGGGCGCCUCGCUUUCCGCCGCCCCUUUGGCCCUCCUAAAGUUGCCUCUUGGGAUGCCCUCCUUCAGGACAUCCCCUCCUCCCUAUGGACGGCGCUGUCACCCCGGACGCCAUCUCUUGGCAUCUGGAACCUUUCGGCUACUUCUCCACCAAAUCCCUCUACGCGGCCAUCGCCCCUCGAUGGCCCCCGAGCCCUUUAGUUUGAUUUGGGACAUCCGCCUGCCCCUGAAGAUCAGGAUCUUCCUGUGGCAAUGGAUCCGAGGCCGCCUCUCAUCUGGUGUGGAGGUCCUUAAGAGUAAUGGACCUGGGGAUGGGAUGUGCCCCAUGUGUGACACGGUGGAGGAUGCUAACCACAUCUUCUUCUCGUGCUCCACGGCUCAGUUCCUUUGGUCCUGUUUCCGCGAGACGGUUGGGGGCCAGUGGUGCAACACCAACUUCCAUGACCUGCUUGCGUCACCUGCUCGCUAACAUCGGCACCUGCAAACUGCUUUUGGAAGAAUCUGUGAGUCACGGGGACUCAGCAAUCUCACACCCUUGCGAUCAAGACUAUUUAAGCUUAUAGGUAGGGUAAAAGGUAUGAGGUGGAGCUGCAGCAAGCGACUAGCAUUUAUGGUGGCUAACAUACGCAAAUGAGAGCGAGAAGAGAAGGCAAAAGCAUGGUCGAACAACUAUGUUCAAGAAGUGAUCCUAGAACAACCUACGUCAAGCAUAACUCCAACAUCGUGUUCACUUCUUGGACUCCGCCGGAAAGAGACCAUCACGGUUACACACGCGGUUGAUGUAUUUUAAUUAAGGUCAACUUCAGGUUUUCUACAACUGGACAUUAACAAAUUCCCAUCUGCCCAUAACCGCGGGCAUGACUUUCGAAAGUUCAGUCCCUGCAGGGUGUCCCAACUUAGCCCAUCACAAGCUCUCAUGGUCAACGAAGGAUAUUCCUUCUCCCAAGACAAUCCGAUCAGGCUCGGCAUCCAGGUUACAAGACAUCCUCGACAAUGGUAAAACAAGUCCAGCAACACCACCCGAAUGUGCCGACAAAUCCUGAUAGGAGCUGCACAUAUCUCAUUCUCAGGUCACACUCAGAUAGGUCAAGCUACGAGUAAAACCAACCCUCGAGUUUCCCCGAGGUGGCCCCGCAGGCUGCCCAUUUCGGACCAACACUUAGAGAAGCACUGGCCCGGGGGGUUAAAAUAAAGAUGACCCUUGGGUCCGCGAAACCUAAGGGAAAAAGGCUAGGUGGCGAAUGGUAAAACCAAUGUUGGGCAUUGCUGGAGGAGUUUUAUUCAAGGUGAACUGUCAAGGGGUUCCCAUUAUAACCCAACCGCGUGAGGAACGCAAAAUCUGGGAACAUAACACCGAUAUGACAGAAACUAGGGCAACAAGAGUGGAACAAAACACCAGGCAUAAGGCCGAGCCUUCCACCCUUUACCAAGUAUAUGGAUGCAUUAAUUAAAUAAGAGGUAUUGUGAUAUCCCAACAAGUAAACAUGUUCCAACAAGGAACAACAUCUCCCCUUGGUUGAAGAUAGUUUAAAUUUAAAUGUUCUAGAAAGUCCAAAUAUGCAUUUAAAUAAUAAGAUGUAAAUUAAUGCUUUUAUAAACGUCCUAAUAAUUAAUAAAAGUGGGAUGUUACAUCUUGUGUGGUCUUUGUGGUUGUUGCUAGAAACCCAUGGUGCUUUGAUGCCAUGGAUCGAUUCAUCAUCCACCGGAAUAAUGAUGAUGGGACGAUGUCAUUUUAGUUAUCGAAUCAUCGUUGAAAGUAAAUGAUGAGAUGGUCAUGUCUGGAGAUGCAGUUCGCCAAAGUGAAAGAAAACUUACUUCGUAUGCCCUUGUUCAGGUAUUGAAUACUUGCAGUGCAACACUUAUUGCUUCUACAAAACUCAUAGUUAGGUCUUUUGCCAUCCAUAUCCAUUUCAAGUGUCACACUGAUCUAAAUGAUCUUAUAUUUCUUUACAGAGAGAGUACCUUUUAGGAAGUGAUCUAAAUGGUUGUAUAUUUCUUUACCGAGGGGGGGGGGNNNNNNNNNNNNNNNNNNNNNNNNNNNNNNNNNNNNNNNNNNNNNNNNNNNNNNNNNNNNNNNNNNNNNNNNNNNNNNNNNNNNNNNNNNNNNNNNNNNNNNNNNNNNNNNNNNNNNNNNNNNNNNNNNNNNNNNNNNNNNNNNNNNNNNNNNNNNNNNNNNNNNNNNNNNNNNNNNNNNNNNNNNNNNNNNNNNNNNNNNNNNNNNNNNNNNNNNNNNNNNNNNNNNNNNNNNNNNNNNNNNNNNNNNNNNNNNNNNNNNNNNNNNNNNNNNNNNNNNNNNNNNNNNNNNNNNNNNNNNNNNNNNNNNNNNNNNNNNNNNNNNNNNNNNNNNNNNNNNNNNNNNNNNNNNGUAGUUCUACAUUUUCAAUUCAUUUCCCUAUGAUUUAUACACAUUACUUUAUAUUUGGAGCUUAUAAAUUCUCAAUUUAAGAAAAUAAGUCUCAAAUGUGAAUCACUAAAAGAAAAUUAAUAGAACAAGCACAUAAACGACAAUUUUAAGAAAAUGUUUGUUUGCUUGCCCUAAUUCAGGCAACAUUUAAAAUCUCAAAUGUUAAAUCAAAUGCGCAUGUCCAUUGACCCUGCAAGUUGAAGGCACAUUCUCUACUAGUCGAGAAGUCCAUAUCACCUCUUGAAAUCAUUUUAGGGUUCAAAUUACAAUCUCGGACUUUGAUUUGGUUCAUUUAACCAUGUGAACUCUGAGAACCGUUCACUUUACAACCCACUUCUCGCGGCUUUGUGCUAGUCUGCUAUGCCAAAUCACAUAAUUUCUCUCUCCUCUCAGCUAUAUGCCUAUGUCAUCUCUUUUUUGUCUCCUCGUAAUAACCAAAACUAAGAUAGGUUUUUCUCAAGUUGUAUGCUAAUUCUAUGAACAUUUUUUUAAACCUAAAUCAGGUACAUAAACUUUGACAAAAUUAUAGUGAACGAGGAAUAGUUCAGUGACCAAAUGUUAUUCAGAUAAACUUAAUAUUUUAGUUUCAUGUUUAAAUGAUGGGUUUAAAAAAGCAAACUGCACACAAACAAACAAAUAACCAAUGACCGACCAUAAUUCAGUGAACAUCUGGUCAAAUAAAGAGAAAAAUAUUUAUGCAACAAGUGGAAACAUGGAACUGCAUGGUAGAUUAGCAGGGUAACUUGACUAAAUUAGGAAGUAAUAUAUCUACUAUUUUAAAAUUAAACCAAGUCAGAGUAACUUGACUAAAGGGAGAAAACCUGACCUUCAUUUUAGAGUAUUAUGCCGGACUUUCAGAGAAAACAACUUAGGUCUGAAAAAAGAGGGAGAUGCAGACUUCCAGAUGUCAUUUAGUAACUUUCAUUAGACUUCAAAAAACAUUUAUAUCUAAUCGCAGGAAAACGUGGUGAAAAAUCAUAGACCUCUAAUUUUAACUGAACUAGUUUCAUAUACACCUAAGAAAACCACCGUAUCGUGUGGUCUUAUAGAACUAUCAAAAGCAAGAAGAUUCUAUGGGCAUCAAAAUAUUGCGAAAGACUUCUGCAUUAACCCUUGUGUUAGUACUGUGAAGCAUGGCUGGUAGCACUAAAUUGUCAAGCUCCUGUAGAGAUGGUUCAACACUACUUAGGAACAUUAGAAAUAGUAAAACUAAUCAAUUGAUUUUGCCUUAGAUGUAAUAAUACGCCUUUGAGAAAAAUGGUUGAACUACUUCUAGGGUUUUGUGUCUGCACACAAUUGCGACAUUAAAUGAUCCAUGUAGACUUGCUAAUAGGUAUGAAUAAUAUCCUAAGGUGAGAUUGACUUGCAAUCCUGCUUGGUACAGUACAUACAUACUGCAGCAAAUACAAAAAAUAUCUCUGUAAAUAACAACUAAAUCCUGACUUUGCCUGACAUGCACCAAGUUCCGAAGUUUGUUUUGAUGUGUUCCUGUAGACGGUAGGGCUGCAUAUAACCUGUUAUGAACAAUACUUUCCCUGGUUUUUUACAUGCUUGCCUUCAUUACUACUCCCUCCGUAAAGAAAUAUAAGAGCGUUUAGAUUCCUAAAGUAGUGAUCUAAAUGCUCUUAUAUUUGUUUACAAAGGGAGUAUGUUCCUUCUGUAUCAAAAUGAUUAAUUUAUAAUACAAGGGGUACUUUCAAAUGUCAACUUUUAUUGGACAUUUUAUUCCUCGAGGAUAUGCAGGUGCAUUAACAAACUGCAAUCUUCCAAUUAGUUAUUGUCAUAUAGUACAAAUGUGUUUCAUUCAAAGUAAUAGCCUGAAAUAGGCCAAUUGCUCAAUACUGUGAUGUACCCAACGAUGUUUAUAUAACAGUAUAUAUGGAUGAUGUGGUGGUACUCAAUUAUUCCAUAGGUUAGGUUGAUUACUUAUUUCAUUUUAUAUUUAUAAAAUGAUUAAAAGCUUACCGAUCGGUCAACUGCUUAUGGAUUCAGUCUCAUCUUUUCAGGUAAGUAAAAUAAAAGCAGAAACCAAUUGGAGGAUGCAAGAACAGAGAAGUACAUGACAAUAGAAAUUGAACACCUUCCAGUGCAAGAAUUAUUGUUUCAAAUGCAGCCGUAUUGUUUUACAACACUCAAGAGUUCGAAAAUGUGGCAUUCAUUCUACCGUUUCGAAUUUCAUAUUAUGAUGAAAUGUUCCCAUAUAAUCACAUUAACACACUCCUGGCCCACUCUUAAUUGUUACGGCAGAUAUCAUCAUUAAAGUGAGUAGCAUACACUAGCCUGCACAUGUAGUGUAGUAAUUAAUACCUAUGACAAAAUUUUUGAACAGACAAUUAAACACUCAUAUAUAUUGUUUAGCAACAAUACCAUUUCCACUAGUGGGUCUCUGGUAACGGGAAUCAGGACACCGCCGGGACGGGCAUGAUGGAACCCGACGGCUCUGGCGACGCUCCGUGCGACCCGGCGGCUCCACCGCCGCCCCAGCCCCCGUCCCCUCCCUCGGACCCUGGCCAUGCGCUGGUGUCCCUCCCGCCCGCUCCGCAUCGACUCCCCCCACCGCCCCGUCGCACGUGGUCUAGGCGGACCUCGCCAAGGCCGACGACCUUGUCGUAGGGCGCCCCGUCAUUUGGCGCGACCGCGUUCCCCCCAAGGCCCCUGCCCGGCCGCCUCGGUCUGAUUCUGUCGGUGGCCUUACUCCCAGGUGUGGGAGUUCGGCCGCCCGCGGGUCUGCCCAGCGCCGGCGCCAACCCUCAGGCGUGUUUCGGUCGGCGGCAGGGCAAGGUGCUCCCUUGGGCUCGGGGUCUCGCCCUCGGGGGCGCCGCUCCGGCGGGUGGCGUGUCGUUGGCCGCGCCGACCGUGGCCUCGCGCGUUCUUCAUGGAGGGCCACUGCUCCGGCGCCGUCCUCCCCUGCUCCGUCCUGCGCACUGACGGCUUUCUCAGCGGAGCUCUCGUCGGUGGUUUUCCGGCGGUCCCCCUUCCGCCCUUUCAUCUCGGCUUUCAGCGCCGCCGCCCCCGCCUCCUGGUGCCCAGCGCGGCCCGUCCUGGCCUCGCCGCCCCCGCCCUACCCCAUCGGCGACCAUCGUGGCGGCGCUCGGGGAAACCCUUGCCCCUCCCCUGGUCUCCCGGGCUUCUCCUAUCGGGCCGCGCUCGUCUCGGGCCGUUCCGUGGGCCGCCUCCUUGGUGCCUCCCCGCGGGCCUCGGCUUCUGGGCCGCCACGUGAUGUGCGGGCCGUUGGCCCCUGUGUGGGCUGGUCCCCUGGACCGUCCUCACCCUCCGCGGCCCAGCCAUGCCCCUGGGUGGGCCUUGGCCCGAUCCGGCGCUCCAUCUCGCCACCGCUAGGGUUCCCCCGCCAACCAGUCCCCAACCCGACGCCUCCCACUCCCCCCGACGAAGUUCCACCCGCCGCCCCUAGCUCCCCCCUGCUCGUCGGCGCCACCGGUCCCCUUGCACCCUCCCCACCUCCCUCGCCGGCCAUGACCCUGGAGUAGGGCAACGGUGCGGGACGCCCCAAGCGCAGGGCACACAACCGCCGCGCCCCCCCUCGACCCUCUCCUGAUGGUCUCCGGCGGGAGGCUGACCUCAGGCAAGAGCUCGACUCCCGCCCGGCUCGGCGCUCCCCAGCCCGCGACGCUCGCCGCUCUCCCCCCACCCAGCCCGCCGGUCCCCUGCUCGGGACGACCGCCGCUCCCGGUCCCCGGCGCGCCGCUCGCCCCCUCGGGCUGCCUCGCGGGAUCGCGGCUGGUCACCGGCUGGAGGGGGGGGGCUCGGCAGUCCUCCCGGCGGCGGUCCCCCUCCCCGUCGCGCCAUCGGGACCGAUCCCCAUCUCCUCCCCGACAGCAGUCCCUGACCACCACCAUCACCGCCCCGGCCGCCCGCCGCUACCAGCCCCCUCACUCCCAAGCUGCAUUCCCGCCGUCCAAUGGGGGCAAUGGGGACCGGGGGCGCCAGGGCACCCAAAAGAAGAAGAAGGGUCCCCCUCGCCCUCGACCGCCUCCACCUCCGCUGGCGCGGUGGCUCCACCUCCGGGCUCCACCCCGCCUCUAAGGGUCCGCCGUGCUUCAAUUCCGGCCUGACCGGGCACUUCCAGGUGGCAUGCCACAACCCUCCGAGGUGCUACCUCUGCAAGGAUGCCGGGCACCCCGUGAUUCUGUGCCCGGACCGCCCGGUGACGGAGGAGAUCAUGAUGUACGACCACGGCAUCGAGGACAUGGGCUUCUUCCACAUCGAGGUCCCGGAGAUUCCCCCUCCCCCCUCGCUCCUGGCUCUCGUGACUGUCGUGGAUGCGGGCGUCGCCACCCUGGAGCUGAUCGAGGCCGAGCUCAACCACUUGUGCAGUUUCAAGUGGGACUGGCAGGUGACCUCCAUCGCUGCCAACGCCUUCAAGGUGAUCUUCCCCGACGCUCUGAGCAUGGGACUCUGUACCCACAACAACAACAUCACCUUGGACCUCAACGGGAUUGUGGUGAACAUCUCAGAGCCAAGGUGGGAUCCCAAGGCCGUGGCUGUUCUGGACACUGUGUGGCUCCUCAUCGCCGGCCUGCCUGAUGUGGCCCGGUCUGAGUGAGUCAUCCGUAGUAUGUCCAAGAUCCUGGGAAAGGUGGUGGUGGUCGAUGAGCUCUCUCUACGCAAGGAGGAGGAGGUCCGGGUCAAGGUGAAGUGCCUGGACUCCUCUAAGCUCCACGCCACGAUUCGGGUCUUCUUCAACGACGACAGCUUCGACCUCAAGAUCUGCCCCGAGCCUCCGAACCACAUCGGCCGCCCCCGAUUCUCUGAUGACAGCCACCUGGGGGCGGUCCAGCUCACGCCGACAACUCCCACCACUGGCGGUCCCGCCACUCCCGCCUCGACGACCCUGAGGAUGACGAGGACUUGUCAAAGCACUCCCGCUCCCCGUCCCGCGAGCCCGCCAACCCACCUUCGGGUCAUGGCUGUUCCGAGGCGGGACGUGUUGGAAAUAUGCCCUAGAGGCAAUAAUAAAUUGGUUAUUAUUAUAUUUCCUUGUUCAUGAUAAUCGUUUAUUAUCCAUGCUAGAAUUGUAUUGAUAGGAAACUCAAAUACAUGUGUGGAUACAUAGACAACACCAUGUCCCUAGUAAGCCUCUAGUUGACUAGCUCGUUGAUCAAUAGAUGGUUACGGUUUCCUAACCAUGGACAUUGGAUGUCGUUGAUAACGGGAUCACAUCAUUAGGAGAAUGAUGUGAUGGACAAGACCCAAUCCUAAGCCUAGCACAAGAUCAUAUAGUUCGUAUGCUAAAGCUUUUCUAAUGUGAAGUAUCAUUUCCUUAGACCAUGAGAUUGUGCAACUCCCGGAUACCGUAGGAGUGCUUUGGGUGUGCUAAACAUCACAACAUUACUAGGUGGAUAUAAAGGUACACUACAGGUAUCUCCGAAAGUGUCUGUUAGGUUGGCACGAAUUGAGACUGGGAUUUGUCACUCCGUGUAAACGGAGAGGUAUCUCUGGGCCCACUCGGUAGGACAUCAUCAUAAUGUGCACAAUGUGAUCAAGGAGUUGAUCACGGGAUGAUGUGUUACGUAACGAGUAAAGAGACUUGCCGGUAACGAGAUUGAACAAGGUAUCGGGAUACCGACGAUCGAAUCUCGGGCAAGUAUCGUACCGAUAGACAAAGGGAAUUGUAUACGGGAUUGAUUAAGUCCUUGACAUCGUGGUUCAGCCGAUGAGAUCAUCGUGGAGCAUGUGGGAGCCAGCAUUGGUAUCCAGAUCCCGCUGUUGGUUAUUGACCGGAGAGUUGUCUCGGCCAUGUCUGCAUGACUCCCAAACCUGUAGGGUCUACACACUUAAGGUUCGAUGACGCUAGGGUUAUAGGGAAAGUAUGUACGCGGUUACCGAAUGUUGUUCGGAGUCCCGGAUGAGAUCCCGGACGUCACGAGGAGUUCCAGAAUGGUCCGGAGGUAAAUAUUGAUAUAUAGGAAGUAUGGUUUUGGCCACCGGAAGUGUUCCGGGCAUCACCGGUAGUGUACCGGGACCACCGAAGGGGUCCCGGGGUCCACCAGGUGGGGCCACCAGCCCCGGAGGCCUACAUGGGCCAAUACUGGGAAGGGACCAGCCCCUAGGUGGGCUAGGGCGCCUCCCACCAAGGCCCAAGGCGCCUCCAAUAGGGGAAGGGGCAAACCCUAGGGCAGAUGGGCCCUAAGGCCCACCCUAGGUGCGCCUCCCCCUCUCCCCAUUGUGGCCGCCACCCUAGAUGGGAGCUAGGGCUGCCGCACCCCUUGGGGUGGGAACCCUAGGUGGGGGCGCAGCCCUCCCUCUCCCCCUAUAUAUAGUGGAGGCAAAGGGGCAGCCCAACACACGAUUUAAUCUCCCUGUUGGCGCAGCCCUACCCCUCUUCCUCCUCGUCUCUCGUAGUGCUUGGCGAAGCCCUGCUGGAGUCCCGCGCUCCUCCACCACCACCACGCCGUCGUGCUGCUGCUGGAUGGAGUCUUCCCCAACCUCUCCUUCUCCCCUUGCUGGAUCAAGGCGUAGGAGACGUCACCGGGCUGUACGUGUGUUGAACACGGAGGUGCCGUCCGUUCGGCACUAGGAUCAUCGGUGAUUUGGAUCAUGACGAGUACGACUCCAUCAACACGUUCACUUGAACGCUUCCGCUUAGCGAUCUACAAGGGUAUGUAGAUGCACUCUCCUUCCCCUCGUUGCUAGAUUACUCCAUAGAUUGAUCUUGGUGAUGCGUAGAAAAUUUUGAAUUUCUGCUACGUUGCCCAACAGUGGCAUCAUGAGCUAGGUCUAUGCGUAGUUACUAUGCACGAGUAGAACACAAAGUAGUUGUGGGCGUCGAUAUUGUCAAUUAUCUUGCCGGUACUAGUCUUAUCUUGAUUCGGUGACAUCGUGGGAUGAAGCGGCCCGGACCAACCUUACACGUACGCUUACGUGAGACCGGUUCCACCGACUGACAUGCACUAGUUGCAUAAGGUGGCUGGCGGGUGUCUGUCUCUCCCACUUUAGUCGGUUCGGAUUCGAUGAACAGGGUCCUUAUGAAGGGUAAAUAGAAAUUGGCAAUUCACGUUGUGGUUUUGGCGUAGGUAAGAAACGUUCUUGCUAGAAACCUAUAGCAGCCACGUAAAAAACUUGCAACAACAAUUAGAAGAUGUCUAACUUGUUUUUGCAGCAAGUGUUUUGUGAUGUGAUAUGGCCAAAGGAUGUGAUGAAUGAUAUAUGUGAUGUAUGAGAUGAUCAUGUUCUUGUAAUAGGAAUCAUGACUUGCAUGUCGAUGAGUAUGACAACCGGCAGGAGCCAUAGGAGUUGUCUUAAUUUAUUUAUGACCUGCGUGUCAAUAUAAACGUCAUGUAAUUACUUUACUUUAUUGCUAACCGUUAGUUGUAGUAGUAGAAGUAAUAGUUGGCGAGACAACUUCAUGAAGACACGAUGAUGGAGAUCAUGGUGUCAUGCCGGUGACAACGAUGAUCAUGGAGCCCCGAAGAUGGAGAUCAAAAGGAGCAAAAUGAUAUUGGCCAUAUCAUGUCACUUUUUGAUUGCAUGUGAUGUUUAUCAUGUUUUUGCAUCUUAUUUGCUUAGAACGAUGGUAGUAAAUAAGAUGAUCCCUCAUUAAAAUUUCAAGAAAGUGUUCCCCCUAACUGUGCACCGUUGCGAAGGUUCGUUGUUUCGAAGCACCACGUGAUGAUCGGGUGUGAUAGAUUCUAACGUUCGAAUACAACGGGUGUUGACGAGCCUAGCAUGUACAGACAUGGCCUCGGGACACAUGCGAAACACUUAGGUUGACUUGACGAGCCUAGCAUGUACAGACAUGGCCUCGGAACACGGAGGACCGAAAGGUCGAGCAUGAGUCGUAUGGUAGAUACGAUCAACAUGAAGAUGUUCACCGAUGAUGACUAGUCCGUCUCACUUGAUGAUCGGACACGGCCUAGUUGACUCGGAUCAUGUAAUCACUUAGAUGACUAGAGGGAUGUCUAUCUGAGUGGGAGUUCAUAAGAUGAACUUAAUUAUCCUGAACAUAGUCAAAAGGUCUUUGGAAAUUAUGUCGUGGCUCGCGCUUUAGUUCUACUGUUUAGAUAUGUUCCUAGAGAAAAUUUAGUUGAAAGUUGAUAAUAGCAAUUAUGCGGACUAGGUCCGUAAACUGAGGAUUGUCCUCAUUGCUUCAUAGAAGGCUUAUGUCCUUAAUGCACCACUCAGUGUGCUGAACCUCGAACGUCGUCUGUGGAUGUUGCGAACAUCUGACAUACACAUUUUGAUAACUACGUGAUAGUUCAGUUAAACGGUUUAGAGUUGAGGCACCGAAGACGUUUUGAAACGUCGCGAAACAUAUGAGAUGUUUCGAGGGCUGAAAUUGGGAUUUCAGGCUCGUGCCCAUGUCAAGAGGUAUAAGACCUCCGACGAUUUUCUUAGCCUGCAAACUAAGGGAGAAAAGCUCAAUUGUUGAGCUUGUGCUCAGAUUGUCUGAGUACAACAAUCAUUUGAAUCAAGUGGGAGUUGAUCUUCCAGAUGAGAUAGUGAUGUUUCUCCGAAGUCAUUACCACCAAGCUGCUAGAGCUUCAUGAUGAACUAUGAUAUAUCAGGGACAUAUAUGAUGAUCCUUGAGAUAUUCGCGAUGUUUGACACCACAAAAGUAGAAAUCAAGAAGGAGCAUCAAUUGUUGAUGGUUGGUGAAACCACUAGUUUCAAGAAGGGCAAGGGCAAGAAGGGAUACUUCAUGAAACAGCAAAUCAGCUGAUGCUCUAGUGAAGAAACCCAAGGUUGAACCCAAACCCGAGACUAAGUGCUUCUGUAAUAAGGGGAACAGCCACUGGAGCAGAAUUACCCUAGAUACUUGGUAGAUGAGAAGGCUGGCAAGGUCGAUAGAAGUAUAUUUGAUAUACAUUGUGUUAAUGUGUACUUUACUAGUACUCCUACUAGCACCAUGGUAUUAGAUACCGGUUCGGCUGCUAAGUGUUAGUAAACUCGAAAUAAGAGGCUGCGGAGUAAAGGGAGACUAGCUAAAGGUGAGCUGGCGAUAUGUGUUGGAAGUUUUUCCCAAGCUUGAUGUGAUCAAGCAUCGCACGCUCCCUCUACCAUCGAGAUUGGUGUUUGCGUUGAGCAUAGACAUGAUUGGAUUAUGUCUAUCGCAAUACGGUUAUUCAUUUAAGGAGAAUAAUGGUUAAUCUGUUUAUUUGAAUAAUACCUUCAAUGGUCUUGCACCUAAAAUGAAUGUUUUUUGAAUCUCGACCGUAGUGUGAUACACAUGUUCAUGCCAAAAGAUAUAAGAUAGUAAUGAUAGUACCACCUACUUGUGGCAUAGCCACGUAAGUCAUAUCGGUAUAAAACGCAUGAAGAAGCUCCAUGUUGAUGGAUCUUUGGGCUCACUCGUUUUGAAAAAUUUGAGACAUGCGAACCAUGUCUAUUGGUGUAUAUGCAUGAAGAAACUCCAUGCAAAUGGACCGUUUGGACUCACUUGAUUUUGGAUCACUUGAGACAUGCAAAUCAUACCACAUGGGCAAGAUGACUGAAAGCCUCGUUUUCAGUAAAAUGGAACUAGAAAGCAACUUGUUGGAAGUAAUACAUUUUGAUGUGUGCGGUCCAAUGAGUGCUGAGGCGUGUAGUGGAUAUCGUUAUGUUCUUACUUCAUAGAUGAUUUGAGUAGAUGUUGAGUACAUUUACUUGAUGAAUCACGAGUCUGAAUUAUUGAAAGGUUCAAGUAAUUUUAGGGUGAAGUUGAAAGAUCGUCGUGACAAGAGGAUAAAAUAUCUAUGAUAUGAUCAUAGAGAUGAAUAUCUGAAUUACGAGUUUGGCACAGAAUUAAGACAUUGUGGAAAUUGUUUCACAACUAAUACAGCCUGGAACACCAUAGUGUGAUGGUGUGUCCGAACAUCAUAACUACACCCUAUUGGAUAUGAUGCAUACCAUGAUGUCUCUUAUCGAAUUACCACGAUAUUUUAUGGGUUAGGCAUUAGAGACAACCACAUUCACUUUAAAUAGGGCACCACGUAAUUCCGAUGAGAUGACACCGUAUGAACUAUGGUUUAGAGAAACCUAAGCUUUCAUUUCUUAAAAGUUUGGGGUUGCGACGCUUGUGUGAAAAAGUUUUAGGCUGAUAAGCUCGAACCCAAAGCGGAUAAAUGCAUCUUCAUAGCACACCCAAAACAGUUGGGUAUACCUCCUGUCUCAGAUCCGAAAGCAAUAAGGGAUUGUUUCUAGAAUCGGGUCCUUUCUCGAGGAAAAGUUUCUCUCGAAAGAAUUGAGUGGGAGGAUGGUGGAGACUUGAUGAGGUUAUUGAACCAUCUCUUCAACUAGUGUGUGGCUGGGCACAUGGAGUUGUUCCUGUGGCACCUACACCAAUUGAAGUGGAAGCUUAUGAUAGUGAUCAUGAAACUUCAGAUCAAGUCACUACCAAACCUCGUGGGAUGACAAGGAUGCGUACUACUUCAGAGUGGUACGUAAUCCUAUCUUGGAAGUCAUGUUGCUAGACAACAAUGAACCUACGAGCUAUGGAGAAGCGAUGGUGGGCCUGGAUUCCAAAAUGGCUCGAGGCCAUAUAAUCCGAGAGAGGAUCCAUAUAUGAAAACAAAGUGUAGACUUUGGAAGAACUACUUGAUGGUCGUAAGGCUGUUAGGUACAUAUGGAUUUUAAAAGGAAGACGGACAAUGAUGGUAAGUAUCACCAUUAAGAAAGCUCGACUUGUCGUUAAGAUGUUUUCCGACAAGUUCAAGGAGUUGACUACGAUGAGACUUUCUCACUCGUAGCGAUGCUAAGAGUCUGUUGGAAUUAUAUUAGCGAUUACUGCAUUAUUUAUGAAAUCUUGCAGAUAGGAUGUCAAAACAUUGUUUCCUCGACGAUUUUCUUGAGGAAAGGUUGUAUGUGAUACAACCGGAAGGUUUUGUCAAUCCUGAAAGAUGCUAAUAAGUAUGCAAAGCUCCAGCAAUCCUUCUAAGGACUGGAGUAAGCAUCUCGGAGUUGGAAUGUAUGCUUUGAUGAGAUGAUCAAAGAUAUUGGGUGUAUACAAAGUUUAUGAGAAACUUGUAUUUCCAAAGAAGUGAGUGGGAGCACUAUAGAAUUUCUGAUGAAUAUAUGUUGUUGACAUAUUGUUGAUCAGAAAUGACGUAGAAUUUCUGGAAAGCAUAUAGGGUUAUUUGGAAAGUGUUUUUCAAUGGAAAGCCUAGAUUAAGCUGCUUGAACAUUGAGCAUCAAGAUCUAUAAGGAUAGAUCAAAACGCUUAAUGGUACUUUCAAAUGAGCACAUACCUUGACAUGAUCUUGAAGGUGUUCAAGAUGGAUCAGUCAAAGAAGGAGUUCUUGCCUGAGUUGUAAGGUAUGAAGUUAAGACUUAAAGCUCGACCACGGCAGAAGAAAGAGGAAGGACGAAGGUCGUCCCCUAUGCUUUUGUCAUAGGCUCUAUACGGUAUGCCAUGUUGAGUACCGCACCUGAUGUGUGCCUUGCCACAUAUCUGGCAAGAGGGUACAAAGGUAAUCUAGGAGUAGAUCACCAGAUAGCGGUCUAAAUUAUCCUUAGAGGAAUAAGGAUAUGUUUCUCGGUUAUGGAGGUGAUAAAGAGUUCGACGUAAAGAGUUACGUCGAUGCAAGCUUAACACCUAUCCGGAUAGCUCUGAGUAGAGAUACCGGAUACGUAUAAUGGAGCAACAAUUUAGAAUAGCUCCAAGUAGAACAGUUAUUUGAAAUGGCUCCAAAUGUAGCGUAGUAGUUGCAUCUACAAGAUGACAUAGAAAUUUGCGAAGUACAUACGGAUCUGAAUGUUGCAGACCCGUUGACUGAAACCUCUCUCACAAGCAUAACAUGAUCAAACCCAGAACUCUUUGGGUGUUAGUCACAUGGGGAUGUGACCUUGAGUGUUAAUCACAUAUCGAUGUGAACUGGAUUAUUGACUCUAGUGCAAGUGGGAGACUGUUGGAAAUAUGCCCUACAGGCAAUAAUAAAUUGGUUAUUAUUAUAUUUCCUUGUUCAUGAUAAUCGUUUAUUAUCCAUGCUAGAAUUGUAUUGAUAAGAAACUCAGAUACAUGUGUGGAUACAUAGACAACACCAUGUCCCUAGUAAGCCUCUAGUUGACUAGCUCGUUGAUCAAUAGAUGGUUACGGUUUCCUGACCAUGGACAUUGGAUGUCGUUGAUAACGGGAUCACAUCAUUAGGAGAAUGAUGUGAUGGAGAAGACCCAAUCCUAAGCCUAGCACAAGAUCAUAUAGUUCGUCUGCUAAAGCUUUUCUAAUGUCAAGUAUCAUUUCCUUAGACCAUGAGAUUGUGCAACUCCCGGAUACCGUAGGAGUGCUUUGGGUGUGCCAAACGUCACAACGUAACUGGGUGGCUAUAAAGGUACACUACUGGUAUCUCCGAAAGUGUUUGCUGGGUUGGCACGAAUCGAGACUGGGAUUUGUCACUCCGUGUAAACGGAGAGGUAUCUCUGGGCCCACUCGGUAGGACAUCAUCAUAAUGUGCACAAUGUGAUCAAGGAGUUGAUCACGGGAUGAUGUGUUACGGAACGAGUAAAGAGACUUGCCGGUAACGAGAUUGAACAAGGUAUCGGGAUACCGACGAUCGAAUCUCGGGCAAGUAUCAUACCGAUAGACAAAGGGAAUUGUAUACGGGAUUGAUUAAGUCCUUGACAUCGUGGUUCAUCCGAUGAGAUCAUCGUGGAGCAUGUGGGAGCCAGCAUGGGUAUCCAGAUCCCGUUGUUGGUUAUUGACCGAGAGUUGUCUCGGCCAUGUCUGCAUGACUCCCGAACCCGUAGGGUCUACACACUUAAGGUUCGAUGACGCUAGGGUUAUAGGGAAAGUAUGUACGCGGUUACCGAAUGUUGUUCGGAGUCCCGGAUGAGAUCCCGGACGUCACGAGGAGUUCCAGAAUGGUCCGGAGGUAAAGAUUGAUAUAUAGGAAGUAUGGUUUUGGCCACCGGAAGUGUUCCGGGCAUCACCGGUAGUGUACCGGGACCACCGAAGGGGUCCGGGGGUCCACCAGGUGGGGCCACCAGCCCCGGAGGACUACAUGGGCCAAUAGUGGGAAGGGACCAGCCCCUAGGUGGGCUAGGGCGCCUCCCACUAAGGCCCAAGGCGCCUCCAAUAGGGGAAGGGGCAAACCCUAGGGCAUAUGGGCCCUAAGGCCCACCCUAGGUGUGCCUCCCCCUCUCCCCCUUGUGGCCACCACCCUAGAUGGGCUCUAGGGCUGCCGCACCCCUUGGGGGUGGGAAUCCUACGUGGGGGCGCAGCCCUCCCUCUCCCCCUAUAUAUAGUGGAGGCAAAGGGGCAGCCCAACACACGAUUUAAUCUUCCUGUUGGCACAGCCCUACCCCUCUUCCUCCUCGUCUCUCGUAGUGCUUGGCGAAGCCCUGCUGGAGUCCCGCGCUCCUCCACCACCACCAUGCCGUCGUGCUGCUGCUGGAUGGAGUCUUCCCCAACCUCUCCUUCUCCCCUUGCUGGAUCAAGGCGUAGGAGACGUCACCAGGCUGUACGUGUGUUGAACACGGAGGUGCCGUCCGUUCAGCACUAGGAUCAUCGGUGAUUUGGAUCACUACGAGUACGACUCCAUCAACCCGUUCACUUGAACGCUUCCGCUUAGAGAUCUACAAGGGUAUGUAGAUGCACUCUCCUUCCCCUCGUUGCUAGAUUACUCCAUAGAUUGAUCUUGGUGAUGCGUAGAAAAUUUUGAAUUUCUGCUACGUUCCCCAACAGGACGCACCUGAGUUUCCGCCACUGACCUCGCGGUGGCUCUCCGCCUGGCCACCCCGCCGGUCGCGCACUCUCCGCCUUCGUCGGAGUCAGCCAGUGACAUCUCCAGUGUGGGCCUGCUCGUCGUGCCGCCUUCGUCGCCGUGCUCUCCCUCCACCGACUCCGCCCUUCGCGCCUCGCCGUCGGGCCCGGACCCCCCGUCUCCCCUGGUUUGACCUCCACGGUCCCCACGGGUGGCGGCGGGUGCACUCCCAUCGGCGUGCCUUCUCCGACCCUCCCACUCACGGGGGACGCGGCCGGCGACAUCCUGGAGCUCGUCGCCCCACUCCCCUCGCCGGUGGACUCCGACGUCCGCCUCGCACCGCCUGCUUCCCCGACCGCGGCGGUGGCCGUUGUUGUGACCACUCCGGCCUCUGCUCACCCUCCUCCGACGGUGGCGUAUGCCAGGCGGCCCCGCUCCACCUCGCCGCCGGUGACGGCGUCCCGCCGCAGCACCCGCCUCGAUGCGACCCGGCCGGCGGACUCCUCGGCUCCGUCCAUCUCCGAGCGUGCGGAGCUUCGGGCGGCGGUCCGGAACCUCGAGUCAGGUGUGGAUCCCUCCCUUCCCAGUUCUUCCAGUUGUUCCUUUUCUGUGCUUGAGGCCGUUCCUCUUGGCCACUUCGCCAAGGUGGCCACUGACUCGAUCAUCAUCUUUAGGGGGAGGUUGGUCCCCCCUUAAAUCAGAUCGCGACCAUUAGGUCUCGUGAGAUCUUAGAUGGCAAGCUUGCUAAGACUCGGGCGCGCUUGCUUCGGCCUCCCAAGGAAUCGUCCGCUACCCCCGCGGUUCGCGUUCCUCCGGUGGCUGAUGGGGUGAUCCAUGGACGCACCCGCUCUCGCGCUGCUGCUCUCCACAUGCAAAGCGCCUCCCGUGUCCUAGGUUCAAGGAGCCCCCCGAUGGGGGCUUAGAUGCGGGCCCUUUUCUGGAACAUCCGCGGCUUCGGCCAUGAUGGCCGUCACCGCCAACUCAUCGAGUACAUGCGAGACGAACACAUUGACAUCAUUGCCAUCCAGGAAACCAUGCGCACCGUGUUCUCCCUCCACGAGCUCUAAUGUCUUAGUUCCCACCUCUUCGCCUGGCAUUGGCUCCCUUCUAGUGGGACCACAGGCCAUUCUGGCGGCAUCCUUUUAGGGGUAAAGGAUGCCACCUUUGAGGUGGGUGGCAUGGACCGGGGUGAAUUCUUCCUUAGUAUGGAGAUCUUCGAGCGUGCUCUUAACUUCAAAUGGGAGGUCGUGAUUGUGUAUGGACCGGCGGACCACCGGCGCUCCCUGGCCUUCCUGACGGAGCUACAUCUGAAGAUCUCCAACUCCCUCCUCCCAGUUGUAGUGGGCGGAGACUUUAACCUCAUCCGAUCCCUAGAUGAGAAGAAUAAUGACCGGAUUAACCUCCCCCGGAUGCAGUUAUUCAAUGACUGGAUCGCAGAGCUGGGUCUCUAUGAGCUAGAUCGGACGGGUGCCAGGUUCACUUGGACAAACCGUCAGGUUGACCCGACGCAAUCCGUCUUGGAUCACGUCCUAGUUUCCCCGGAGUGGGAAUUAUGUUGCCCCCUGGCCUCGCUUCGUGCGAUUACCCGGAUCGGGUCUGACCAUGUCCCUCUCCUCCUCUCCACCGCUGACGAGCGCCCCCCACCCCGCCACGUUUCCGGUUCGAGCUCUUCUGGCUUAAUCAGGUCGGCUUGCGGGAGGCUGCCGUCGCUCGCUGGAUCUCCGCUCGCUCUUCCCCUCAUCGCGCCAUGUCCACAGUCGACUCGUGGCACUUCUGUGCCAAACUCGCCCACCAAUUCAUGAAGGGUUGGGGUGCUUACCAUGGCCGGGACCUUCGAGAGCGCAAAAAGGCCCUCCUGCUGGCUAUCCAAGCCCUGGAUGCCCGUGCCGAGACGUCCGGGAUCUCCCCGGAUGAGUGGAUGCUGCGAUAUGACCUUGAAGACCAGCUCUCAACCAUUUACACGGAUGAAGAGGCCUACUGGCGACUGCGCGGUACCCAAUGGUGGGUGCUUCGGGGUGAUGCCAACACCGCCUAUUUCCAGGCAGUGGCGAAUGGCCGGCGGCAUCGAAACUCCAUCCACUGCCUGUGGGAUGGAGACACGCCUCUCGUUCGCCUCUCGGCCAUCCAUGCCCAUGUAGACGGCUUCUAUAAAGCCCUAUUUACCCCACCCCUCGGGGUGGGGCUAGUCUCGCCCCCGACAUUUGGUCGGGUGAUCAAUUGGUCUCAGUUGAGGCCAAUGCGGCAUUAGUGGCCCCCUUCGCCAAGAACGAGGUCCUCACGGCUAUUAAAGGGAUGAACCCCUCCUCGGCCUCAGGACCGGAUGGCUUGCCUGUAACGUUCUUCAAAACGUUCUGGCCGACCAUCAAGCCGGAGGUCAUGGCCCUGUUUGAGGAAUUCUACUCGGGCGCCAUGGAUCUUGGGUGUCUCAACUAUGGUAUCGUGACCCUCAUCCCCAAGGUCCCGGGCGCCUCCGACAUCCGCCAAUUUCGUCCAAUCACAGUGAUUAAUGUGAUAUUCCGGAUCCUGGCCAAAGGGUACACCAAUAGGAUGACCCUGCUCACUGACGCGAUUACCCAUCCCAACCAAUCCGCCUUCAUACAAGGCCGAUUUAUUCUGGAUGGGGUGCUGGUAUUCCAUGAAGUCCUCCAUGAGGUUCGGAUGAAACGCCAUCAAGCGGUCUUUCUGAAGCUAGACUUCCUCAAAGCGUACGACAUGGUCCACUGGCCCUUCUUGUGGGAAGUGUUGCUUUGCAAGGGCUUUGAUGACCGUUGGGUGACUCGCGUCAUGCAGCUUGUCUCCUGUGGCCGGACCGCUAUGAACAUCAACGGUGACAUUAGGCCCUACUUCCCCACCCUCUGUGGGGUCCGUCAGGCUGACCCGUUCUCGACAUUCCUGUUCAACAUGGUGGUUGAUGCCCUGGCAUCCAUCCUUGAUAAGGCCAAGGAUGCUGGCCAUAUUCGUGGCAUCGUCCCCCACCUAGUCAGAGGGGGAGGGGUCUCCCUCCUUCAAUAUGCGGAUGAUACCAUAAUAAUGGUGAAGGGCUCCGUCCAAGACAUUGCUAACCUGAAGUUCCUCCUCCCGUGCUUCCAACAGAUGUCGGGCCUGACCAUAAACUUUGGUAAGAGCGAAGUGAUGGUUCUCGGGUUCCCCCCGGAGGAAGCACGGGCUAUUGCGGACCGGCUAAAUUGUCGGUUGGGUUCUUUCGCCAGGACCUACCUGGGGAUCCCCAUUAGUGAUUCACGCCUCACCAUGGCGGAUUUUUGCCCCACGGUGACCCGUGUGCAACACCGCAUUGAGCCCUGGAAAGGGCGCUGGUUGUCGAAGGUUGCUCGCGUGAUCCUUAUCAAGUCUUCCCUUGCCAGCCUUCUUUGGUUCCUCAUGAGCUUCUAUAGCCUCCGUGAGACCCUUCAUCAAGAGAUCGCCAAAUACCAAUAUAGAUUCUUCUGGGCUGGGGAGGGGGAUAAGCAGAAGUACCAUAUGGUAAGCUGGCCCGAUAUCUGCAAACCCAAGGACCAGGGUGGUCUUGGGAUCUUGUCCUCCCAACGCAUGAACAUUUCCCUCCUCACCCGUUGGCUCUGGCGCAUUGCCAAUGGCAAUGGAGGUCUUUGGCUCACCAUCAUCCACAACAAGUACCUUCGAGGACAGCCUCUUGCAUUCUGUUAGCGCUCGGGCGGCUCCCAGUUUUGGCAGGCCGUCGUCCAGCUGCUACCUAUGCUUUGCAUUGGCACGUCCAUCUCGGUUGGUACUGGGUCCUCGACCCUGUUCUGGUUUGAUCGGUGGAUUGGCGACACCCCCCUGGCCGCAUGAUUUCCGGAGCUCUUCGCCAUUGCAGUUGACCCUCGUGUCUCUGUCGAGACGACCCUUAUUGACUUAGGGCGCCUCGCUUUCCGCCGCCCCUUUGGCCCUCCUAAAGUUGCCUCUUGGGAUGCCCUCCUUUAGGACAUCCCCUCCUCCCUAUGGACGGUGCUGUCACCCCGGACGCCAUCUCUUGGCAUCUGGAACCUUUCGGCUACUUCUCCACCAAAUCCCUCUACGCGGCCAUCGCCCCCUCGAUGGCCCCCGAGCCCUUUAGUUUGAUUUGGGACAUCCGCCUGCCCCUGAAGAUCAGGAUCUUCCUGUGGCAAUGGAUCCGAGGCCACCUCUCGUCUGGUGUGGAGGUCCUUAAGAGUAAUGGACCUGGGGAUGGGAUGUGCCCCAUGUGCGACACGGUGGAGGAUGCUAACCACAUCUUCUUCUCGUGCUCCACGGCUCAGUUCCUUUGGUCCUGUUUCCGCGAGACGGUUAGGGGCCAGUGGUGCAACACCAACUUCCAUGACCUGCUUGCGUCACCUGUUCGCUAACAUCGGCACCUGCAAACUGCUUUUGGAAGAAUCUGUGAGUCACGGGGACUCAGCAAUCUCACACCCUUGCGAUCAAGACUAUUUAAGCUUAUAGGUAGGGUAAAAGGUAUGAGGUGGAGCUGCAGCAAGCGACUAGCAUUUAUGGUGGCUAACAUACGCAAAUGAGAGCGAGAAGAGAAGGCAAAAGCACGGUCGAACAACUAUGUUCAAGAAGUGAUCCUAGAACAACCUACGUCAAGCAUAACUCCAACACCGUGUUCACUUCCUGGACUCCGCCGGAAAGAGACCAUCACGGUUACACACGCGGUUGAUGUAUUUUAAUUAAGGUCAACUUCAGGUUUUCUACAACUGGACAUUAACAAAUUCCCAUCUGCCCAUAACCGCGGGCACGGCUUUCGAAAGUUCAAUCCCUGCAGGGUGUCCCAACUUAGCCCAUCACAAGCUCUCACGGUCAACGAAGGAUAUUCCUUCUCCCAAGACAAUCCGACAGGCUCAGCAUCCAGGUUACAAGACAUCCUCGACAAUGGUAAAACAAGUCCAGCAACACCACCCGAAUGUGCCGACAAAUCCUGAUAGGAGCUGCACAUAUCUCAUUCUCAGGUCACACUCAGAUAGGUCAAGCUACGAGUAAAACCAACCCUCGAGUUUCCCCGAGGUGGCCCCGCAGGCUGCCCGUUUCGGACCAACACUUAGAGAAGCACUAGCCCGGGGGGGUUAAAAUAAAGAUGACCCUUGGGUCCGCGAAACCUAAGGGAAAAAGGCUAGGUGGCGAAUGGUAAAACCAAUGUUGGGCAUUGCUGGAGGAGUUUUAUUCAAGGUGAACUGUCAAGGGGUUCCCAUUAUAACCCAACCGCGUGAGGAACGCAAAAUCUGGGAACAUAACACCGAUAUGAUAGAAACUAGGGCAACAAGAGUGGAACAAAACACCAGGCAUAAGGCCGAGCCUUCCACCCUUUACCAAGUAUAUAGAUGCAUUAAUUAAAUAAGAGGUAUUGUGAUAUCCCAACAAGUAAACAUGUUCCAACAAGGAACAACAUCUCACCUUGGUUGAAGAUAGUUUAAAUUUAAAUGUUCUAGAAAGUCCAAAUAUGCAUUUAAAUAAUAAGAUGUAAAUUAAUGCUUUUAUAAAUGUCCUAAUAAUUAAUAAAAGUGGGAUGUUACAUCUUGUGUGGUCUUUGUGGUUGUUGCUAGAAACCCAUGGUGCUUUGAUGCCAUGGAUCGAUUCAUCAUCCACCGGAAUAAUGAUGAUGGGACGAUGUAAUUUUAGUGAUCGAAUCAUCGUUGAAAGUAAAUGAUGAGAUGGUCAUGUCUGGAGAUGCAGUUCGCCAAAGUGAAAGAAAACUUACUUCGUAUGCCCUUGUUCAGGUAUUGAAUACUUGCAGUGCAACACUUAUUGCUUCUACAAAACUCAUAGUUAGGUCUUUUGCCAUCCAUAUCCAUUUCAAGUGUCACACUGAUCUAAAUGAUCUUAUAUUUCUUUACAGAGAGAGUACCUUUUAGGAAGUGAUCUAAAUGGUUGUAUAUUUCUUUACCGAGGGGGGGGGGGUACGUAGUUCUACAUUUUCAAUUCAUUUCCCUAUGAUUUAUACACAUUACUUUAUAUUUGGAGCUUAUAAAUUCUCAAUUUAAGAAAAUAAGUCUCAAAUGUGAAUCACUAAAAGAAAAUUAAUAGAACAAGCACAUAAACGACAAUUUUAAGAAAAUGUUUGUUUGCUUGCCCUAAUUCAGGCAGCAUUUAAAAUCUCAAAUGUUAAAUCAAAUGCGCAUAUCCAUUGACCCUGCAAGUUGAAGGCACAUUCUCUACUAGUCGAGAAGUCCAUAUCACCUCUUGAAAUCAUUUUAGGGUUCAAAUUACAAUCUCGGACUUUGAUUUGGUUCAUUUAACCAUGUGAACUCUAAGAACCGUUCACUUUACAACCCACUUCUCGCGGCUUUGUGCUAGUCUGCUAUGCCAAAUCACAUAAUUUCUCUCUCCUCUCAGCUGUAUGCCUAUGUCAUCUCUUUUUUGUCUCCUCGUAAUAACCAAAACUAAGAUAGGCUUUUCUCAAGUUGUAUGCUAAUUUUAUGAACAUUUUUUUUAACCUAAAUCAGGUACAUAAAACUUUGACAAAAUUAUAGUGAACGAGGAAUAGUUCAGUGACCAAAUGUUAUUCAGAUAAACUUAAUAUUUUAGUUUCAUGUUUAAAUGUUGGGUUUAAAAAAGCAAACUGCACACAAACAAACAAAUAACCAAUGACCGACCAUAAUUCAGUGAACAUCUGGUCAAAUAAAGAGAAAAAUAUUUAUGCAACAAGUGGAAACAUGGAACUGCAUGGUAGAUUAGCAGGGUAACUUGACUAAAUUAGGAGGUAAUAUAUCUACUAUUUUAAAAUUAAACCAAGUCAGAGUAACUUGACUAAAGGGAGAAAACCUGACCUUCAUUUCAGAGUAUUAUGCUGGACUUUCAGAGAAAACAACUUAGGUCUGAAAAAAGAGGGAGGUGCAGACUUCCAGAUGUCAUUUAGUAACUUUCAUUAGACUUCAAAAAACAUUUAUAUCUAAUCGCAAGAAAACAUGGUGAAAAAUCAUAGACCUCUAAUUUUAAAUGAACUAGUUUCAUAUACACCUAAGAAAACCACCGUAUCGUGUGGUCUUACAGAACUAUCAAAAGCAAGAAGAUUCUCUGGGCAUCAAAAUAUUGCGAAAGACUUCUGCAUUAACCCUUGUGUUAGUACUGUGAAACAUGGCUGGUAGCACUAAAUUGUCAAGCUCCUGUAGAGAUGGUUCAACACUACUUAGGAACAUUAGAAAUAGUAAAACUAAUCAAUUGAUUUUGCCUUAGAUGUAAUAAUACGCCUUUGAGAAAAAUGGUUGAACUACUUCUAGGGUUUUGUGUCUGCACACAAUUGCGACAUUAAAUGAUCCAUGUAGACUUGCUAAUAGGUAUGAAUAAUAUCCUAAGGUGAGAUUGACUUGCAAUCCUGCUUGGUACAGUACAUACAUACUGCAGCAAAUACAAAAAAUAUCUCUGUAAAUAACAACUAAAUCCUGACUUUGCCUGACAUGCACCAAGUUCCUAAGUUUGCUUUGAUGUGUUCCUGUAGACGGUAGGGCUGCAUAUAACCUGUUAUGAACAAUACUUUCCCCGGUUUUUUACAUGCUUGCCUUCAUUACUACUCCCUCCGUAAAGAAAUAUAAGAGCGUUUAGAUCCCUAAAGUAGUGAUCUAAAUGCUCUUAUAUUUGUUUACAAAGGGAGUAUGUUCCUUCUGUAUCAAAAUGAUUAAUUUACAAUACAAGGGGUACUUUCAAAUGUCAACUUUUAUUGGACAUUUUAUUCCUCGAGGAGAUGCAGGUGCAUUAACAAAUUGCAAUCUUCCAAUUAGUUAUUGUCAAAUAGUACAAAUGUGUUUCAUUCAAAGUAAUAGCCUGAUAUAGGCCAAUUGCUCAAUACUAUGAUGUACCCAACGAUGUUUAUAUAACAGUAUAUAUGGAUGAUGUGGUGGUACUCAAUUAUUCCAUAGGUUAGGUUGAUUACUUAUUUCAUUUUAUAUUUAUAAAAUGAUUAAAAGCUUACCGAUCGGUCAACUGCUUAUGGAUUCAGUCUCAACUUUUCAGGUAAGUAAAAUAAAAGCGAAAACCAAUUGGAGGAUGCAAGAACAGAGAAGUACAUGAAAAUAGAAAUUGAACACCUUCCAGUGCAAGAAUUAUUGUUUCAAAUGCAGCAGUAUUGUUUUACAACACUCAAGAGUUCGAAAAUGUGGCAUUCAUUCUCCCGUUUCGAAUUUCAUAUUAUGAUGAAAUGUUCCCAUAUAAUCACAUUAACACACUCCUGGCCCACUCUUAAUUGUUACGGCAGAUAUCAUCAUUGAAGUGAGUAGCAUACACUAGCCUGCACAUGUAGUGUAGUAAUUAAUACCUAUGACAAAAUUUUCGAACAGACAAUUAAACACUCAUAUAUAUUGUUUAGCAACAAUACCAUUUGCGCUAGUGGGUCUCUGGUAAUGGGAAUCAGGACACCGCCGGGACGGGCAUGAUGGAACCCGACGGCUCUGGCGACGCUGCAUGCGACCCGGCGGCUCCGCCGCCGCCCCAGACCCCGUCCCCUCCCUCGGACCCUGGCCAUGCGCUAGUGUCCCUCCCGCCCGCUCCGCCGUCGACUCCCCCCACCGCCCCGUCGCGCGUGGUCUGGGCGGACCUCGCCAAGGCCGACGACCUUGUCGCGGGGCGCCCCGUCGUUUGGCGCGCCCGCGUUCCCCCCAAGGCCCCUGCCCGGCCGCCUCGGUCUGAUUCUGUCGGUGGCCUUACUCCCAGGUGUGGGAGUUCGGCCACCCGCGGGUCUGCCCGGUGCCGGCGCCAACCCUCAGGCGUGUUUCGGUCGGCGGCGGGGCAAGGUGCUCCCUUGGGCUCGGGGUCUCGCCCUCGGGGGCGCCGCUCCGGCGGGUGGCGUGUCAUUGGCCGCGCCGACCGCGGCCUCACGCGUUCUUCAUGGAGGGCCACUGCUCCGGUGCCGUCCUCCCCUGCUCCGGCCUACGCACUGACGGCGUUCUCGGCGGAGCUCUCGUCGGUGGUUUUCCGGCUGUCCCCCUUCCGCCCUUCCAUCUCAGCUUUCAGCGCCCCCCCCCCCCGCCUCCUGGUGCCCAGCGNNNNNNNNNNNNNNNNNNNNNNNNNNNNNNNNNNNNNNNNNNNNNNNNNNNNNNNNNNNNNNNNNNNNNNNNNNNNNNNNNNNNNNNNNNNNNNNNNNNNNNNNNNNNNNNNNNNNNNNNNNNNNNNNNNNNNNNNNNNNNNNNNNNNNNNNNNNNNNNNNNNNNNNNNNNNNNNNNNNNNNNNNNNNNNNNNNNNNNNNNNNNNNNNNNNNNNNNNNNNNNNNNNNNNNNNNNNNNNNNNNNNNNNNNNNNNNNNNNNNNNNNNNNNNNNNNNNNNNNNNNNNNNNNNNNNNNNNNNNNNNNNNNNNNNGGGGAAACCCUCGCCCCUCCCCUGGUCUCCCGGGCUUGUCCUACCGGGCCGCGCUCGUCUCGGGCCGUUCCGUGGGCCGCCUCCUUGGCGCCUCCCCGCGGGCCUCGGCUUCUGGGCCGCCGCGUGAUGUGCGGGCCGUUGGCCCCUGUGUGGGCCAGUCCCCUGGACCGUCCUCACCCUCCGCGGCCCAGCCAUGCCCCUGGGUGGGCCUUGGCCCGAUCCGGCACUCCAUCUCGCCACCGCUAGGGUUCCCCCGCCAACCAGUCCCUAACUCGACGCCUCCCGCUCCCCCCGACGAAGUUCCACCCAUCGCCCUUAGCUCCCCCCUGCUCAUCGGCGCCACCGGUCCCCUUGCACCCUCCCGACCUCCCUCGCCGGCCAUGACUCGGGAGUGGGGCGACGGUGCGGGACGCCCCAAGCGCAGGGCAGACGACCGCCGCGCCCCCCCUCGACCCUCUCCUGAUGGUCUCCGGCGGGAGGCUGACCUCAGGCAGGAGCUCGACUCCCGCCCGGCUCGGCACUCCCCAGCCCGCGACGCUCGCCGCUCUCCCCCCACCCAGCCCGCCAGUCCCCUGCUCGGGACGACCGCCGCUCUCGGUCCCCGGCGCGCUGCUCGCCCCCUCGGGCUGCCUCGCGGGAUCGCGGCUGGUCACCGGCUGGGGGGGGGGGCUCGGCAGUCCUCCCGGCAGCGGUCCCCCUCCCCGUCGCGCCAUCGGGACCGAUCCCCAUCUCCUCCCCGACAGCAGUCCCUGACCACCGCCAUCACCGCCCCGGCCGCCCGCCGCUACCAGCCCCCUCACACCCAAGCUGCAUUCCCGCCGUCCAAUGGGGGCAAUGGGAACCGGGGGCGCCAGGGCACCCAAAAGAAGAAGAAGGGUCCCCCUCGCCCCCUACCGCCUCCACCUCCGCUGGUGCGGUGGCUCCACCUCCGGGCUCCACCCCCGCCUUUGACGGUCCAUCGUGCUUCAAUUCCGGCCUGACCGGGCACUUCCAGGUGGCAUGCCCCAACCCUCCGAGGUGCUACCUCUGCAAGGACGCUGGGCACCCCGCGAUUCUCUGCCCGAACCGCCCGGUGACGGAGGAGAUCAUGAUGUACGACCACGGCAUCGAGGACAUGGGCUUCUUCCGCAUCGAGGUCCCGGAGAUUCCCCCUCCCCCCUCGCCCCUGGCUCUCGUGACUGUCGUGGGUGCGGGCGUCGCCACCCUGGAGCUGAUCGAGGCCAAGCUCAACCACUUGUUCAGGUGCAAGUGGGACUCGCAGGUGACCUCCACCGCUGCCAACGCCUUCAAGGUGAUCUUCCCCGACGCUCUGAGCAUGGGACUCUGUACCCACAACAACAACAUCACCUUGGCCCUCAACGCGAUUGUGGUGAACAUCUCAGAGCCAAGGUGGGAUCCCAAGGCCGUGGCUGUUCUGGACCCUGUGUGGCUCCUCAUCGCCGGCCUGCCUGAUGUGGCCCGGUCUGAGUGAGUCAUCCGCGGUAUGUCCAAGAUCCUGGGAAAGGUGGCGGUGGUCGAUGAGCUCUCACUACGCAAGGAGGAGGAGGUCCGGGUCAAGGUGAAGUGCCUGGACUCCUCCAAGCUCCACGCCACGAUUCGGGUCUUCUUCAACGACGACAGCUUCGACCUCAAGAUCUGCCCCGAGCCUCCAAACCACAUCGGCCGCCCCCGAUUCUCUGAUGGCAGCCACCUGGGGGCGGUCCAGCUCACGCCGACGGCUCCCACCACUGGCGGUCCCGCCACUCCCGCCUCGACGACCCUGAGGAUGAUGAGGACUUGUCGGAGCACUCCCGCUCCCCGUCCCGCGAGCCCGCCAACCCACCUUCAGGUCAUGGCGGUUCCGAGGCGGGACGUGUUGGAAAUAUGCCCUAGUAAAUUGGUUAUUAUUAUAUUUCCUUGUUCAUGAUAAUCGUUUAUUAUCCAUGCUAGAAUUGUAUUGAUAGGAAACUCAGAUACAUGUGUGGAUACAUAGACAACACCAUGUCCCUAGUAAGCCUCUAGUUGACUAGCUCGUUGAUCAAUAGAUAGUUACGGUUUCCUGACCAUGGACAUUGGAUGUCAUUGAUAACGGGAUCACAUCAUUAGGAGAAUGAUGUGAUGGACAAGACCCAAUCCUAAGCCUAGCAUAAGAUCAUAUAGUUCGUAUGCUAAAGCUUUUCUAAUGUCAAGUAUCAUUUCCUUAGACCAUGAGAUUGUGCAACUCCCGGAUACCGUAGGAGUGCUUUGGGUGUGCCAAACAUCACAACGUAACUGGGUGGCUAUAAAGGUACACUACAGGUAUCUCCGAAAGUGUCUGUUGGGUUGGCACGAAUCGAGACUGGGAUUUGUCACUCUGUGUAAACGGAGAGGUAUCUCUGGGCCCACUCGGUAGGACAUCAUAAUAAUGUGCACAAUGUGAUCAAGGAUUUGAUCACGGGAUGAUGUGUUACGGAACGAGUAAAGAGACUUGCCGGUAACGAGGUUGAACAAGGUAUCGGGAUAUCGGCGAUCGAAUCUCGGGCAAGCAUCGUACCGAUAGACAAAGGGAAUUGUAUACGGGAUUGAUUAAUUCCUUGACAUCGUGGUUCAUCCGAUGAGAUCAUCGUGGAGCAUGUGGGAGCCAGCAUGGGUAUCCAGAUCCCGUUGUUGGUUAUUGACCGGAGAGUUGUCUCGGCCAUGUCCGCAUGACUCCCGAACCCGUAGGGUCUACACACUUAAGGUUCGAUGACGCUAGGGUUAUAGGGAAAGUAUGUACGCGGUUACCGAAUGUUGUUCGGAGUCCCGGAUGAGAUCCCGGACGUCACGAGGAGUUCCAGAAUGGUCCGGAGGUAAAGAUUGAUAUAUAGGAAGUAUGGUUUUGGCCACCGGAAGUGUUCCGGGCAUCACCGGUAGUGUACCGGGACCACCGGAGGGGUCCGGGGGUCCACCAGGUGGGGCCACCAGCCCCGGAGGCCUACAUGGGCCAAUAGUGGGAAGGGACCAGCCCCUAGGUGGGCUAGGGCGCCUCCCACCAAGGCCCAAGGCGCCUCCAAUAGGGGAAGGGGCAAACCCUAGGCAGAUGGGCCCUAAGGCCCACCCUAGGUGCGCCUCCCCCUCUCCCCCUUGUGGCCGCCACCCUAGAUGGGAUCUAGGGCUGCCGCACCCCUUGGGGUGGGAACCCUAGGUGGGGGCGCAGCCCUCCCUCUCCCCCUAUAUAUAGUGGAGGCAAAGGGGCAGCCCAACACACGAUUUAAUCUCCCUGUUGGCGCAGCCCUACCCCUCUUCCUCCUCGUCUCUCGUAGUGCUUGGCGAAGCCCUGCUGGAGUCCCGCGCUCCUCCACCACCACCACGCCGUCGUGCUGCUGCUGGAUGGAGUCUUCCCCAACCUCUCCUUCUCCCCUUGCUGGACCAAGGCGUAGGAGACGUCACCAGGCUGUACGUGUGUUGAACACGGAGGUGCCGUCCGUUCAGCACUAGGAUCAUCGGUGAUUUGGAUCACUACGAGUACGACUCCAUCAACCCGUUCACUUGAACGCUUCCGCUUAGCGAUCUACAUGGGUAUGUAGAUGCACUCUCCUUCCUCUCGUUGCUAGAUUACUCCAUAGAUUGAUCUUGGUGAUGCGUAGAAAAUUUUGAAUUUCUGCUACGUUCCCCAACAGUGGCAUCAUGAGCUAGGUCUAUGCGUAGUUACUAUGCACGAGUAGAACACAAAGUAGUUGUGGGCGUCGAUAUUGUCAAUUAUCUUGCCGUUACUAUUCUUAUCUUGAUUCGGCGACAUCGUGGGAUGAAGCGGCCCGGACCAACCUUACACGUACGCUUACGUGAGACCGGUUCCACCGACUGACAUGCACUAGUUGCAUAAGGUGGCUGGCGGGUGUCUGUCUCUCCCACUUUAGUCGGUUCGGAUUCGAUGAACAGGGUCCUUAUGAAGGGUAAAUAGAAAUUGGCAAUUCACGUUGUGGUUUUGGCGUAGGUAAGAAACGUUCUUGCUAGAAACCUAUAGCAGCCACGUAAAAAACUUGCAACAACAAUUAGAAGACGUCUAACUUGUUUUUGCAGCAAGUGUUUUGUGAUGUGGUAUGGCCAAAGGAUGUGAUGAAUGAUAUAUGUGAUGUAUGAGAUGAUCAUGUUCUUGUAAUAGGAAUCAUGACUUGCAUGUCGAUGAGUAUGACAACCGGCAGGAGCCAUAGGAGUUGUCUUAAUUUAUUUAUGACCUGCGUGUCAAUAUAAAUCUCAUGUAAUUACUUUACUUUAUUGCUAACCGUUAGCUGUAGUAGUAGAAGUAAUAGUUGGCGAGACAACUUCAUGAAGACACGAUGAUGGAGAUCAUGAUGAUGGAGAUCAUGGUGUCAUGCCGGUGACAACGAUGAUCAUGGAGCCCCGAAGAUGGAGAUCAAAAGGAGCAAAAUGAUAUUGGCCAUAUCAUGUCACUUUUUGAUUGCAUGUGAUGUUUAUCAUGUUUUUGCAUCUUAUUUGCUUAGAACAACGGUAGUAAAUAAGAUGAUCCCUCAUUAAAAUUUCAAGAAAGUGUUCCCCCUAACUGUGCACCGCUAUGAAGGUUCAUUAUUUCGAAGCACCACGUGAUGAUCGGGUGUGAUAGAUUCUAACGUUCGAAUACAACGGGUGUUGACGAGCCUAGCAUGUACAGACAUGGCCUCGGGACACAUGCGAAACACUUAGGUUGACUUGACGAGCCUAGCAUGUACAGACAUGGCCUCGGAACACGGAGGACCGAAAGGUCGAGCAUGAGUCGUAUGGUAGAUACGAUCAACAUGAAGAUGUUCACCGAUGAUGACUAGUCCGUCUCACGUGAUGAUCGGAGACGGCCUAGUUGACUCGGAUCAUGUAAUCACUUAGAUGACUAGAGGGAUGUCUAUCUGAGUGGGAGUUCAUAAGAUGAACUUAAUUAUCCUGAACAUAGUCAAAAGGUCUUCGCAAAUUAUGUCGUGGCUCGCGCUUUAGUUCUACUGUUUAGAUAUGUUCCUAGAGAAAAUUUAGUUGAAAGUUGAUAAUAGCAAUUAUGCGGACUAGGUCCGUAAACUGAGGAUUGUCCUCAUUGCUUCAUAGAAGUCUUAUGUCCUUAAUGCACUGCUCAGUGUGCUGAACCUCGAACGUCGUCUGUGGAUGUUGCGAACAUCUGACAUACACAUUUUGAUAACUACGUGAUAGUUCAGUUAAACAGUUUAGAGUUGAGGCACCGAAGACGUUUUGAAACAUCGUGAAACAUAUGAGAUGUUUCGAGGGCUGAAAUUGGGAUUUCAGGCUCGUGCCCACGUCAAGAGGUAUAGGACCUCCGACGAUUUUCUUAGCCUGCAAACUAAGGGAGAAAAGCUCAAUUGUUGAGCUUGUGCUCAGAUUGUCUGAGUACAACAAUCAUUUGAAUCAAGUGGGAGUUGAUCUUCCAGAUGAGAUAGUGAUGUUUCUCCGAAGUCAUUACCACCAAGCUGCUAGAGCUUCAUGAUGAACUAUGAUAUAUCAGGGACAUAUAUGAUGAUCCUUGAGAUAUUCGCGAUGUUUGACACCACAAAAGUAGAAAUCAAGAAGGGGCAUCAAUUGUUGAUGGUUGGUGAAACCACUAGUUUCAAGAAGGGCAAGGGUAAGAAGGGAUACUUCAUGAAACGGCAAAUCAGCUGAUGCUCUAGUGAAGAAACCCAAGGUUGAACCCAAACCCGAGACUAAGUGCUUCUGUAAUAAGGGGAACAGCCACUGAAGCAGAAUUACCCUAGAUAUUUGGUAGAUGAGAAGGCUGGCAAGGUCGAUAGAAGUAUAUUGGAUAUACAUUGUGUUAAUGUGUACUUUACUAGUACUCCUAGUAGCACCAUGGUAUUAGAUACCGGUUUGGCUGCUAAGUGUUAGUAAACUCGAAAUAAAAGGUUGCGGAGUAAACAGAGACUAGCUAAAGGUGAGCUGGCGAUAUGUGUUGGAAGUUUUUCCCAAGCUUGAUGUGAUCAAGCAUCGCAUGCUCCCUCUUCCAUCGAGAUUGGUGUUUGCGUUGAGCAUAGACAUGAUUGGAUUAUGUCUAUCGCAAUACGGUUAUUAUUUUAAGGAGAAUAAUGGUUACUCUGUUUAUUUGAAUAAUACCUUCAAUGGUCUUCCACCUAAAAUGAAUGUUUUUUGAAUCUCGAUCGUAGUGUGAUACACAUGUUCAUGCCAAAAGAUAUAAGAUAGUAAUGAUAGUACCACCUACUUGUGGCACAGCCACGUAAGUCAUAUCGGUAUAAAACGCAUGAAGAAGCUCCAUGUUGAUGGAUCUUUGGGCUCACUCGUUUUGAAAAAUUUGAGACAUGCGAACCAUGUCUAUUGGUGUAUAUGCAUGAAGAAACUCCAUGCAAGUGGACCGUUUGGACUCACUUGAUUUUGAAUCACUUGAGACAUGCAAAUCAUACCACAUGGGCAAGAUGACUGAAAGCCUCGUUUUCAGUAAAAUGGAACUAGAAAGCAACUUGUUGGAAGUAAUACAUUUUGAUGUGUGCAGUCCAAUGAGUGCUGAGGCGUGUAGUGGAUAUCGUUAUGUUCUUACUUCACAGAUGAUUUGAGUAGAUGUUGAGUACGUUUACUUGAUGAAUCACGAGUCUGAAUUAUUGAAAUGUUCAAGUAAUUUCAGGGUGAAGUUGAAAGAUCGUCGUGACAAGAGGAUAAAAUAUCUAUGAUAUGAUCAUAGAGAUGAAUAUCUGAAUUACGAGUUUGGCACAGAAUUAAGACAUUGUGGAAAUUGUUUCACAACUAAUACAGCCUGGAACACCAUAGUGUGAUGGUGUGUCCGAACAUCAUAACUGCACCCUAUUGGAUAUGAUGCAUACCAUGAUGUCUCUUAUCGAAUUACCAUGAUAGUUUAUGGGUUAGGCGUUAGAGACAACCACAUUCACUUUAAAUAGGGCACCACGUAAUUCCGAUGAGAUGACACCGUAUGAACUAUGGUUUAGAGAAACCUAAGCUGUCAUUUCUUAAAAGUUUGGGGCUGCGACGCUUAUGUGAAAAAGUUUUAGGCUGAUAAGCUCGAACCCAAAGCGGAUAAAUGCAUCUUCAUAGGACACCCAAAACAGUUGGGUAUACCUCCUGUCUCAGAUCCGAAAGCAAUAAGGGAUUGUUUCUAGAAUCGGGUCCUUUCUCGAGGAAAAGUUUCUCUCGAAAGAAUUGAGUGGGAGGAUGGUGGAGACUUGAUGAGGUUAUUGAACCGUCUCUUCAACUAGUGUGUGGCAGGGCACAUGGAGUUGUUCCUGUGGCACCUACACCAAUUGAAGUGGAAGCUUAUGAUAGUGAUCAUGAAACUUCAGAUCAAGUCACUACCAAACCUCGUGGGAUGACAAGGAUGUGUACUACUUCAGAGUGGUACGUAAUCGUGUCUUGGAAGUCAUGUUGCUAGACAACAAUGAACCUACGAGCUAUGGAGAAGCGAUGGUGGGCCUGGAUUCCAAAAUGGCUCGAGGCCAUAUAAUCCGAGAGAGGAUCCAUAUAUGAAAACAAAGUGUAGACUUUGGAAGAACUACUUGAUGGUCGUAAGGCUGUUAGGUACAUAUGGAUUUUAAAAGGAAGACGGACAAUGAUGGUAAGUAUCACCAUUAAGAAAGCUCGACUUGUCGUUAAGAUGUUUUCCGACAAGUUCAAGGAGUUGACUACGAUGAGACUUUCUCACUCGUAGCGAUGCUAAGAGUCUGUUGGAAUUAUAUUAGCGAUUACUGCAUUAUUUAUGAAAUCUUGCAGAUAGGAUGUCAAAACAUUGUUUCCUCGACGAUUUUCUUGAGGAAAGGUUGUAUGUGAUACAACCGGAAGGUUUUGUCAAUCCUGAAAGAUGCUAAUAAGUAUGCAAAGCUCCAGCAAUCCUUCUAAGGACUGGAGUAAGCAUCUCGGAGUUGGAAUGUAUGCUUUGAUGAGAUGAUCAAAGAUUUUGGGUGUAUACAAAGUUUAUGAGAAACUUGUAUUUCCAAAGAAGUGAGUGGGAGCACUAUAGAAUUUCUGAUGAAUAUAUGUUGUUGACAUAUUGUUGAUCAGAAAUGACGUAGAAUUUCUGGAAAGAAUAUAGGGUUAUUUGGAAAGUGUUUUUCAAUGGAAAGCCUGGAUUAAGCUACUUGAACAUUGAGCAUCAAGAUCUAAAAGGAUAGAUCAAAACGCUCAAUGGUACUUUCAAAUGAGCACAUACCUUGACAUGAUCUUGAAGGUGUUCAAGAUGGAUCAGUCAAAGAAGGAGUUCUUGCCUGAGUUGUAAGGUAUGAAGUUAAGACUUAAAGCUCAACCACGGCAGAAGAAAGAGGAAGGACGAAGGUCGUCCCGUAUGCUUUUGUCAUAGGCUCUAUACGGUAUGCCAUGUUGAGUACCGCACCUGAUGUGUGCCUUGCCACAUAUCUGGCAAGAGGGUACAAAGGUAAUCUAGGAGUAGAUCACCAGAUAGCGGUCUAAAUUAUCCUUAGAGGAAUAAGAAUAUGUUUCUCGGUUAUGGAGGUGAUAAAGAGUUCGACGUAAAGAGUUACGUCGAUGCAAGCUUAACACCUAUCCGGAUAGCUCUGAGUAGAGAUACCAGAUACGUAUAAUGGAGCAACAAUUUAGAAUAGCUCCAAGUAGAACAGUUAUUUGAAAUGGCUCCAAAUGUAGCGUAGUAGUUGCAUCUACAAGAUGACAUAGAAAUUUGCGAAGUACAUACAGAUCUGAAUGUUGCAGACCCGUUGACUGAAACCUCUCUCACAAGCAUAACAUGAUCAAACCCAGAACUCUUUGGGUGUUAGUCACAUGGGGAUGUGACCUUGAGUGUUAAUCACAUAUCGAUGUGAACUGGAUUAUUGAUUCUAGUGUAAGUGGGAGACUGUUGGAAAUAUGCCCUACAUGCAAUAAUAAAUUGGUUAUUAUUAUAUUUCCUUGUUCAUGAUAAUCGUUUAUUAUCCAUGCUAGAAUUGUAUUGAUAAGAAACUCAGAUACAUGUGUGGAUACAUAGACAACACCAUGUCCCUAGUAAGCCUCUAGUUGACUAGCUCGUUGAUCAAUAGAUGGUUACGGUUUCCUGACCAUGGACAUUGGAUGUCGUUGAUAACGGGAUCACAUCAUUAGGAGAAUGAUGUGAUGGACAAGACCCAAUCCUAAGCCUAGCACAAGAUCAUAUAGUUCGUAUGCUAAAGCUUUUCUAAUGUCAAGUAUCAUUUCCUUAGACCAUGAGAUUGUGCAACUCCCGGAUACCGUAGGAGUGCUUUGGGUGUGCCAAACGUCACAGCGUAACUGGGUGGCUAUAAAGGUACACUACAGGUAUCUCCGAAAGUGUUUGUUCGGUUGGCACGAAUCGAGACUGGGAUUUGUCACUCCGUGUAAACGGAGAGGCAUCUCUGGGCCCACUCGGUAGCACAUCAUCAUAAUGUGCACAAUGGGAUGAAGGAGUUGAUCACGGGAUGAUGUGUUAUGGAACGAGUAAAGAGACUUGCCGGUAACGAGAUUGAACAAGGUAUCGGGAUACCGACGAUCGAAUCUCGGGCAAGUAUCGUACCGAUAGACAAAGGGAAUUGUAUACGGGAUUGAUUAAGUCCUUGACAUCGUGGUUCAUCCGAUGAGAUCAUCGUGGAUCAUGUGGGAGCCAGCAUGGGUAUCCAGAUCCCGUUUUUGGUUAUUGACCGGAGAGUUUUCUCGGCCAUGUCUGCAUGACUCCCGAACCCGUAGGGUCUACACACUUAAGGUUCGAUGACGCUAGGGUUAUAGGGAAAGUAUGUACGCGGUUACCGAAUGUUGUUCGGAGUCCCGGAUGAGAUCCCGGACGUCACGAGGAGUUCCAGAAUGGUCCGGAGGUAAAGAUUGAUAUAUAGGAAGUAUGGUUUUGGCCACCGGAAGUGUUCCGGGCAUCACCGGUAGUGUACCGGGACCACCGAAGGGGUCCGGGGGUCCACCAGGUGGGGCCACCAGCCCCGGAGGCCUACAUGGGCCAAUAGUGGGAAGGGACCAGCCCCUAGGUGGGCUAGGGCGCCUCCCACCAAGGCCCAAGGCGCCUCUAAUAGGGGAAGGGGGCAAACCCUAGGGCAUAUGGGCCCUAAGGCCCACCCUAGGUGUGCCUCCCCCUCUCCCCCUUGUGGCCGCCACCCUAGAUGGGAUCUAGGGCUGCCGCACCCCUUGGGGUGGGAACCCUAGGUGGGGGCGCAGCCCUCCCUCUCCCCCUAUAUAUAGUGGAGGCAAAGGGGCAGCCCAACACACGAUUUAAUCUUCCUGUUGGCACAGCCCAACCCCUCUUCCUCCUCGUCUCUCGUAGUGCUUGGCGAAGCCCUGCUGGAGUCCCGCGCUCCUCCACCACUACCACGCCGUCGUGCUACUGCUGGAUGGAGUCUUCCCCAACCUCUCCUUCUCCCCUUGCUGGAUCAAGGCGUAGGAGACGUCACCGGGCUGUACGUGUGUUGAACACGAAGGUGCCGUCCGUUCGGCACUAGGAUCAUCGGUGAUUUGGAUCACGACGAGUACGACUCCAUCAACCCGUUCACUUGAACGCUUCCGCUUAGCAAUCUACAAGGGUAUGUAGAUGCACUCUCCUUCCCCUCGUUGCUAGAUUACUCCAUAGAUUGAUCUUGGUGAUGCUUAGAAAAUUUUAAUUUCUGCUACGUUCCCCAACAGGACGCACCUGAGUUUCCGCCACUGACCUCGCGGUGGCUCUCCACCUGGCCACCCCGCCGGUCGCGCCCUCUCCGCCUCCGUCGGAGUCGGCUAGUGACAUCUCCAGUGUGGGCCUGCUCGUCGUGCCGCCUUCAUCGCCGUGCUCUCCCUCCGCCGACUCCGCCCUUCGCGCCUUGCCGUCGGGCCCGGACCCCCCGUCUCCCCUGGUUUGACCUCCCCGGUCCCCAUGGGUGGCGGCGGGUGCACUCCCAUCGGCGUGCCUUCUCCGACACUCCCACUCGCGGGGGACGCGGCCGGCGACAUCCUGGUGCUCGUCGCCCCACUCCCCUCGCUGGUGGACUCCGACGUCCGCCUCGCACCGCCUGCUUCCCCGACCGCGGCGGUGGCCGUUGUUUUGACCACUCCGGCCUCUGCUCACCCUCCUCCGACGGUGGCGUAUGCCAGGCGGCCCCGCUCCACCUCGCCGCAGGUGACGGCGUCCCGCCGCAGCGCCCGCCUCGAUGCGACCCGCCCAGCGGACUCCUCGGCUCCGUCCAUCUCCGAGCGUGCGGAGCUUAGGGCGGCGGUCCGGAACCUCGAGUCAGGUAUGGAUCCCGCCCUUCCCAGUUCUUCCAGUUGUUCCUUUUCCGCGCUUGAGGCCGUUCCUCUUGGCCACCUUGCCAAGGUGGCCACUGACUCGAUCAUCAUCUUCAGGGGGAGGUUGGUCCCCCCUUAAAUCAGAUCGCGACCAUUAGGUCUCGUGAGAUCUUAGAUGGCAAGCUGGCUGAGACUCGGGCGCGCUUGCUUCGGCCUCCCAAGGAAUCGUCCGCUACCCCCGCGGUUCGCGUUCCUCCGGUGGCCGAUGGGGUGAUCCGCUCUCGCGCUGCUGCUCUCCACAUGCAAAGCGCCUCCCGUGUCCUAGGUUCAAGCAGCCCCCCAAUGGGGGCUUAGAUGCGGGCCCUUUUCUGGAACAUCCGUGGCUUCGGCCAUGAUGGCCGUCACCUCCAACUCAUCGAGUACAUGCGAGACGAACACAUUGACAUCAUUUCCAUCCAAGAAACCAUGCACACCGUGUUCUCCCUCCACGAGCUCGAAUGUCUUAGUUCCCACCUCUUCGCCUGGCAUUGGCUCCCUUCUAGUGGGACCAUAGGCCAUUCUGGCGGCAUCCUUUUAGGGGUAAAGGAUGCCACCUUUGAGGUGGGUGGCAUGGACCAGGGUGAAUUCUUCCUUAGUAUGGAGAUCUUCGAGCGUGCUCUUAACUUCAAAUGGGAGGUCGUGAUUGUGUAUGGACCGGCGGACCACCGCGCUCCCCGGCCUUCCUGGCGGAGCUACAUCUGAAGAUCUCCAACUCCCUCCUCCCAGUUGUAGUGGGCGGAGACUUUAACCUCAUCCGAUCCCCAGAUGAGAAGAAUAAUGACCGGAUUAACCUCCCCCGGAUGCAGUUAUUCAAUGACUGGAUCGCGGAGCUGGGUCUCCGUGAGCUAGAUCGGACGGGUGCCAGGUUCACUUGGACAAACCGUCAGGUUGACCCGACGCAAUCCGUCUUGGAUCGCGUCCUAGUUUCCCCGGAGUGGGAAUUAUGUUGCCCCCUGGCCUCGCUUUGUGCGAUUACCCGGAUCGGGUCUGACCAUGUCCCUCUCCUCCUCUCCACCGCUGACGAGCGCCCCCCCCCCACCCCGCCACAUUUCUGGUUCGAGCUCUUCUGGCUUAAUCAGGUCGGCUUCCGGGAGGCUGUCGUCGCUCGCUGGAUCUCCGCUCGCUCUUCCCCUCAUCGCGCCAUGUCCGCAGUCGACUCGUGGCACUUCUGUGCCAAGCUCGCCCACCAAUUCAUGAAGGGUAGGGGUGCUAACCUUGGCCAGGACCUUCGAGAGCGCAAAAAGGCCCUCCUACUGGCUAUCCAAGCCCUGGAUGCCUGUGCCGACACGUCCGGGAUCUCCCCGGAUGAGUGGAUGCUGCGAUAUGACCUUGAAGACCAGCUCUCAACCAUUUACACGGAUGAAGAGGCCUACUGGCGACUGCGCGGUACCCAAUGGUGGGUGCUUCGGGGUGAUGCCAACACCGCCUAUUUCCAGGCAGUGGCGAACGGCCGGCAGCAUCGAAACUCCAUCCACUGCCUGUGGGAUGGAGACACGCCUCUUGUUUGCCCCUCGGCCAUCCAUGCCCAUGUAGACGGCUUCUAUAAAGCCCUAUUUACCCCACCCCUCGGGGUGGGGCUAGUCUCGCCCCCGACAUUUGGUCGGGUGAUCAAUUGGUCUCAGUUGAGGCCAAUGCGGCAUUAGUGGCCCCCUUCUCCAAGGAUGAGGUCCUCGCGGCUAUUAAAGGGAUGAACCCCUCCUCGGCCUCAGGACCGGAUGGCUUGCCUGUAACGUUCUUCAAAACGUUCUGGCCGACCAUCAAGCCGGAGGUCAUGGCCCUGUUUGAGGAAUUCUACUCGGGCGCCAUGGAUCUUGGGUGUCUCAACUAUGGUAUCGUGACCCUCAUACCCAAGGUCCCGGGCGCCUCCGACAUCCGCCAGUUUCGUCCAAUCACAGUGAUUAAUGUGAUAUUCCGGAUCCUGGCCAAAGGGUACACCAAUAGGAUGACCCUGCUCGCUGACGCGAUUACCCAUCCCAACCAAUCCGCCUUCAUACAAGGCCGAUUUAUUCUGGAUGGGGUGCUGGUAUUCCACGAAGUCCUCCAUGAGGUCCGGAUGAAACGCCAUCGGCUGGUCUUUCUGAAGCUAGACUUCCACAAAGAGUACAACAUGGUCCACUGGCCCUUCUUGCGGGAAGUGUUGCUUUGCAAGGGCUUUGAUGACCAUUGGGUGACUCGCGUCAUGCAGCUUGUCUCCUGUGGCCGGACCGCUGUGAACAUCAACGGUGACAUUAGGCCCUACUUCCCCACCCUCUGUGGGGUCCGUCAGGGUGACCCGUUCUCGACGUUCCUGUUCAACAUGGUGGUUGAUGCCCUGGCAUCCAUCCUUGAUAAGGCCAAGGAUGCUGGCCAUAUUUGUGGCAUCGUCCCCCACCUAGUCGAAGGGGGAGGGGUCUCCCUCCUUCAAUAUGCGGAUGAUACCAUAAUAAUGGUGGAGGGCUCCAUCCAAGACAUUGCUAACCUGAAGUUCCUCCUCCCGUGCUUCCAACAGAUGUCGGGCCUGACCAUCAACUUUGAUAAGAGCGAAGUGAUGGUUCUCGGGUUCCCCCCGGAGGAAGCACGGGCUAUUGCGGACCGGCUAAAUUGUCGGUUGGGUUCUUUCCCCACGACCUACCUGGGGAUCCUCAUUAGUGAUUCACGCCUCACCAUGGCGGAUUUUCGCCCCACGGUGACCCGUACGCAACACCGCAUUGAGCCCUGGAAAGGGCGCUGGUUGUCGAAGGUUGCUCACGUGAUCCUUAUCAAGUUUUCCCUUGCCAGCCUUCUUUGGUUCCUCAUGAGCUUCUAUAGCCUCCGUGAGACCCUUCAUCAAGAGAUCGCCAAAUACCAAUCCAGAUUCUUCUGGGCUGGGGAGGGGGAUAAGCAGAAGUACCAUAUGGUAAGCUGGCCCGGUAUCUGCAAACCCAAGGACCAGGGUGGUCUUGGGAUCUUGUCCUCCCGACGCAUGAACAUUGCCCUCCUGACCCGUUGGCUCUGGCGCAUUGCCAAUGGCGAUGGAGGUCUUUGGCUCACCAUCAUCCACAACAAGUACCUUCGAGGACAGCCUCUUGCAUUCUGUCAGCGCUCGAGCGGCUCCCAGUUUUGACAGGCCAUCGUCCAGCUGCUACCUGUGCUUUGCAUUGGCACAUCCAUCUCGGUUGGUACUGGGUCCUCGACCCUGUUCUGGUUUGAUCGGUGGAUUGGCGACACCCCCCUGGCUGCACGAUUUCCGGAGCUCUUCGCCAUUGCAGUUGACCCUCGUGUCUCUGUCGAGACGACCCUUAUUGACUUAGGGCGCCUCGCUUUCCGCCGCCCCUUUGGCCCUCCUAAAGUUGCCUCUUGGGAUGCCCUCCUUCAGGACAUCGCCCUCCUCCCUAUGGACGGUGUUGUCACCCCGGACGCCAUCUCUUGGCGUCUGAAACCUUCCGGCUACUUCUCCACCAAAUCCCUCUACGCGGCCAUCGCCCCCUCGAUGGCCCCCGAGCCCUUUAGUUUGAUUUGGGACGUCCGCCUGCCCCUGAAGAUCAAGAUCUUCCUGUGGCAAUGGAUCCGAGGCCGCCUCCCGUCUGGUGUGGAGGUCCUUAAGAGUAAUGGACCUGGGGAUGGGAUGUGCCCCAUGUGCGACAUGGUGGAGGAUGCUAACCACAUCUUCUUCUCGUGCUCCACGGCUCAGUUCCUUUGGUCCUGUUUCCGCGAGACGGUUGGGGGCCAGUGGUGCAACACCAACUUCCCUGACCUGCUUGCGGAAAUUCACGCCUCCCCCCUCGCUACCGCCAUAAUAGAUGGCUUUGCAUUAAGGUCCUUGCCUGGACACUUUGGACCGUUCACAAUAAGCUUGUCAUACAGAAGGUGCCUCUUCGACGUGCUACUGACGCCAUCUUUAAAAUGUGUGGAUACUUGCAGCUCUGGCGACCGCUUAGCCGCCCCCAGGAUUGGGACGUCAUCAACAACCUCCUCGCUGGCCUUCGAUCGAUGGCCUUCCGCUUGGCGCCUCCGCUCCCUCCGCCCCCCGGAGCCCGACUAGAUGCUCUGCCGCACCCUGCGUGUGCGUGCUAUUUUGUUUCUUUAGGGCUUGUUGAGCUGUGCCCUCAGCAUUAAACCUUUGACUACUUGACUGUACUAGACCUUUGUGUGUGUGUGUGAACCUUGUUGGAUGUUUGGCUUGGGCAGUUGCUUUAUAAUAUAAAGCGGGGCGAAAAUCUUUUUCAGUAAAGGAUAAGUAUCCAACAUCUUGACAAACGAAAAACAUUAGCAGAGUAAUACUGUCUUCACCGAAGCUUCAGAUAUAUUCAAAUAAACUAAUCCUUCAUCAAACAAGUAGCAAGAUAUGUAUGUGAUUUAACAUGCAUGCCAAUGUGAAAUGAAGACUAUAUCAUGUAGAGCCUAGUUGCCUUCUUCCACAGUUCCAGUAAAGCCAAAGGACAGGUUCUUUUGAGCUCAGCAUAUCCAUGGCUUGCUAUUAUAUCAUCCACUUUACCCAAAGAGGCAAUAAAUUCAAUGCAAGCAUCAGUCAACUUGUUGUAGUGAUGCUGAUCAGCCAAAACCAGUGUAGUCACCACGGUCUUCACAUCUAUGUUCUUGCAAAGGAUGCUUUCACAUAUGAUCUUCAGUCUUUCCAUGGCAUACCGAUCCGCGGCUACAAGCAAAUGUCCAAUAAUCUCUUUGUACUCAUCUUGAUAUUGGUAAAGAUCAUCCAUGGUGGGCAACGAAUCGGUGUAUAUAAAAUGGAGCAGGGCCUCGAAGACUAGAGGUUGCAUGUCGCCGAUGAUAACACAACCCAUAUCAUUUUCCCUCAAGGCACCGUACAACUCUUCCUUAAACACCGGCGACCGCAUCGCGAGCACUAUCUUGUGCGCAGGAAAAGCCUCCCCUUGAACCUCGAAGGUGACAUCGCUUCCCUCUUUCCGUUGCCACAACUUCCUGAGGUGAUCCGUGAUGUCGGAUGGCGGCAACGGCACCUCAGCAAACGAUUUGGGCGCUUCCGUGCAGAUAGUGAUGGCACACUCAAUUGUGAGGCGAUCGCUGUGAAGGUAAGGCGACACCUCGAGCUUGCUCUUCUUCAUGCACUCGGGAUGGCCGAAGCACGUUCGGUCGCCAGAGUCGAAUUCUGCGGCGACCGUCCUCAUCGUACGAGGCGGCGUUGAUCCUGUGAUGUCCACCAAACUGAGCUCGAAGGUUGCCCUCACCUUGGCCUUCUUGCUGACUAAAAAGAGAUAGACCGCCACAUAGCCUCCGGAAUGCCCAAGCACUCCUUCCUCAUAGAAACGAAUCUGCCAGUUGUAAGAGCCGACGGUGAAUACUUCCGAUGAUUGUACGUCGAGGCUAACUCGGCCGUACCCUGAGACCUCGAACACGAGCGAGCCCCGCCCUGCACGUCACGUGGACGCCGUGCAUCCCAUCGCCGCCUCCGUUGCCCGGUUGUCUUGUUCGUGGCCGGGGUGGUGGCCGGUGGCGGGGGAGAAGAGUUUAUUAGGGUUUCUUAUUAGGGUUUGCAUUUGUAUGGAGGGUUGGACCGGGAAGCGAAAGGAAAGAGGGUUGGGCCGGGAAGCGGAACGCGCUUCGCUAUACUCUCUAAAAUCGGGCCCAGGAAUCCAAGUCGAAUUCCUCCUUAGGACCGAAUCAAAUCGUGGGACGUCCUAUACGCCGCUCUCUGGACGUAGCUGGGAACCGAACCUCGUACAUCAUGAUACAGAUCAGGCGCGGCCACCGACUGACCUAUCACGCGUUACCGACAAGUUUGCAGCGUCCGUUUUUAAGAAUCAACCCCACACAGCAGAUCCGAAUUACUUUCAGCAUUUUAAAAGAUUAUUUUAAACUAGGUGUUUUCUGAAUGCAAACACUUUUCAAAUUGGGGAAUUGCUUAAAAAAUGAUUUCUUUUAGAAAAGCAGGAACAUUUUUCGAAAUCACAAACAAUUUUUCCCAAAACAGGAACAAUUUUUGAAAUUCCAAAAGAAAAUUGGGCAAAUGCAAACAUUCUUUAAACUCCUGAACAAAUUUGAAAACACGAACAUUUAUUUGAAAUUUGUGAACAUUUUUAAACGGGAACAUUUUUGGAAACUCCAAAAAAUGAAAACAUGAACAUUUUUUAAAAUACGGUACAAGUUCUGAGAAGUUGUGUAUUUUUUUAGCAGAAACAUUUGGAACAUUAAAAAAAA
rnacentral:lncRNA from 1 species